UUCACAAGACUUCUUCGCCAAUGGGUUCCAACAAAGUCCAGGAGAAUUCAAUAUUUUUGACGUCAAUGUCACUCGCCAAGAUGUUCAGCGAUUUCCAGGACUCAACACUCUAGGGCUGUCAAUGAACCGAGUGGUUUUGAAGCCUGGAGGGCUGAAUGCACCCCACGUCCACCCUCGUGCAGCCGAGCUGGCUCUAGUCAUGGAUGGAAAACUGUUUGUAGGCUUUGUGACAACCGGAAACGUUUUCUACUGGAAAAUUGUGACUUCAGGAGAGUUGUUUGUGAUUCCUCCUGGGCUAGUGCACUUCCAACUGAAUAUUGGACACGAGAACGCACGCUUCUUCGCCUCGUUCAACAGUCAAAAUCCAGGGAUUCAGUUCGCCCCCCUUGCUCUUUUUAACUCCACGCCUUCGAUUCCUGAUCUCGUGUUGAGUAAAGCAUUUCAAGUAAAUCAAAGUAUCAUUGAGCUCAUUAAGUCUAGGUUUGCAACUGUGUCGACUGUGUCGACCGUGCUUAAGUCAUCUUACUAACAUCCUAUUCCAGGGUGUUGUUCAUUAUAGUUGGCAUAUUAAAUAAUAAAAUCUUCUAUAUUAUCGUUUAAUUGUAUUUUGGUCAAGUUAAUUUUUAGUAGUUUUAUUGGCGUCAAAUUAGGAUAGUUUUACUAUUUAGAAACUAGUAUUGUAUUAAGUAAUUUCCUAUGCUUGUCAGUAGUCAUGAUAUGUAUUUGGUUGGAAACAAUAAAAGUUUGAGUCUUGUCAUUGAUAUUAGUCCUCUUCAUGUAAAUUAGCCUCCAUAUAUAUAUAUAUAUAUAUAUAUAUAUAUUGGUUUUGCGAAAGUUAUCUCCUAUAAUUUUUUUUUGGGUAUAAUUAUUAGGCUCUACAUCUGGUAUCGAAUCCUAUUUGCAUGAAAUUAAUCUUUGGGUGAGUUGUCAGAGUUAGGACACAAGAAUUGCCGGGACUGUUCAAUUGAUCACGUAAGGCCAUUAUGUUGGUUUUGGAGUAUUUAAUUGGUCAAAAUUAGGCCAUAAAAUUGGUGUGAAAAUUAUUAACUUGAUUGUGGAUAUUGCUAAUGGUGACAGUUUUUGACAUGGUACGUAAACGCGGCACAAAAAAUCCUAAAUGAAACAUGAUACGGAAUAAUUUAUGUCAAAAAUGGAUCCACGCAAACAGAAUGGGUUGUAUUGGGCCAAUCCAUAGGUUGAUAUGACUAACAUGUUUUUGACACGUUAAGAAUUUUGAAAAAAUGCUACUUGCUUCCCUCCUAAUACUGCACUUAAAAUAAAUGGUUUUGUAUUAAAUUUUAUAGUUUAAGAACUAAAAUAAUAUAAUCAACCUCCUAUAAGAAUACAUAAACAACACAUAAAUCGAGACUCUGCAAAUUCACAUAUGCAACUGUUAUGAUUUUAAUUUUUUGCUUCCUUCCUUUAAUAUUCUUAUUUUCUCAAAUUGACAAGCAUAAACAACCUCUAUGAUUUUAACUUUUCACUUCGAAACUUACCUUUAGAUCAAAUAUUGCUCAAUUUUUCUUCCUUUCUUGUGAUUAAAUAUCUUUUCUAGGUAAACUUUAAUAUUUCACAAAUUUUCUAUCAUUUUUGUCUAUUUUAUUUGAACAUUUUCUAGUUUAUACUGCUCCUCUAUUUUAUCAUUUUCCCUAUCAUUUUCUUUCUAAAGUUUUUCUUUCUUGUGAAAGAAAAAAGAAAGAAAAACAAAAUAGGCUUUUUUCUGUAUAUUAUUAAUGAGAUAAUCAUGCAUCCAAAACUUAUACAAGUAAAAAUCCAAUGACAGGCUACAACUAAAUUAGAUUAAGAGAAUAUUACAUAUUUUCUUGAAAGAGAACCAUGUUUUAUUUUUCGGCAAUAUUUCUCCUAUAAUUUUGAUAUAAAAAGUUAAAUGAGUCAAUUGGGUCAAAACAUGAGAUGAACCUGUCCAAAUGUAUGGAGUAUUGCAGCAACAAAUCUUUUUGAAGAUUAAGAAUUCAAAUUUAUAUUAAUGAAAUUUACAAAUGAGAUUAUUAUUGCUGAACUUGAUUCAAUAGAGAGUUUGAUUUAAGGGAAACAAUGUUGGCAUAUUAAAUUAAAGCUAAAAAUUUGAAUUUUCUAUACUAUUAUUUAGUAGUAUUUUGGUCACACAAAUUUUUUUAGUAGUUCUACGAGAGCUAAGAUAUGGUAGUAUAUUUAAGAAUUGGAGGCUCUAGGACAUAGAGGUUCUGGGUUCAAAUCUCCAUUCCUCCUCCCCAUUUCUUAAAUCCUAUCUCUCCCCUUGAUUAGAAAAAGUUAAAAUAAUUAUUUAGAAAUUGGUACUGUAUUAGAUAAUUAUUGUAGCUAUCAAUACUUGUUUAUCAAAUCAUGUAAUCUGUAAGUAGAGUCAUAUUACCAUACCCACUUGAGAAGAUUGGAAGUUUAAUAGCCUUGUUGUUGUGGUGUUAUUAAUAUUUUAUUAUUAAUAUCAUUGUUCUUUUCUCACAUAUACGUGUAUAUGUGUAAAUUAGCCUCCCAUAUAUAUUGGGUUUGUGGAAUUUAUCUCUCAUAAUGAUCUUUUGACUAUAAUUGUCACGCCUCGUGCCUAGAACGUAGCACCACCACACCAUAGACAAUGCUAAAGGCGUAAGGCAACAAAUUUCCAAAGCAACUACAUUUACCUUUAUAUAAACUUUUUAAAUCCACAAAUACAAGAUCAUCUAUAACAGCAAUUUUGUGUCUUCCAAAAUAAAAGCAAGAUCAAACCUUCUACAAUAUGUACAAAAUUCAAAUCCUAUCAUAAGGUCUCUUAUAUAUAAGUACAAAAGUCAUCCUCUAACCCAAAGUCAUCUCCAUCUCCAUUACAACCCCCAAGAGCUAUCAAGGUCUACUUCAAUGAACUCAUCAUUAACUGCAUAAUUAUAACAAAGGGGUGAGCAAAAUCUCACUUAAUAAGUAGUGCAUGUAUCUCAUUAUUUGCCUGAGCAUGUUACAUACAUAAUAUAUAUUUCAAACGUCAUUAACUUACACAUAUAACUUUAUAAGAACAUGGUUACUAUAAACAUUUCAAUGGCAUAUCAUACAUCACACACACAAAGGAGCUCAAACCAUAAGACAACAAUUGACCCAGGAUAUCCAGUUGUUAACUUAAACUUAACCAGUUAACACAUUUCAUAGUGCUAACUACCACAUAGUUAGCCCAUUUCAUAUUGCUCACUACAACAUGGAUAGCUCGUUUCAUAUACCAACUACUUGUGAGGAACUAGUCCUGUCAAAAGUCGCUUAUACAAGAGCUCAACAAACAUAACAUUUCAUUUCACAAAUGACCAUAGCAAGAGUAAUAACAAAUAUCACAAAUUAUACUUGCUCAUGCCAUUUUAGCAAUUAGACAAGUAGCUUUCAAAAUUUAUCAUUCAAAAGAUAAAGGAUACAUGCACCAGUUACCUCGAUCCAAUCGAUACCCACGCUAUUUCAAGUAAUCGGAAAAAUAGCUACCUUCCUCACCUAGACAUAAUGAUAAAAUGUUCAAUUACAAUCUUAAAGAUACCAAACUACUCCAAAUUAUCAUAAAAACGAGCCUAAUACUACCCUUAACCACUAAUUCCUAAUAAAAGAUCAUUUCCUCAUCAAAGUAGGACAUAAGGGUUUACUUUAAAGGGUCACUAACUUCCAAAAAUACAGAAAUAGGUCAAGAGAUUUAUAUAGAGUUAAAGCCCUCUGAAUCUAGUUUCCAACGCAAUAAACGGCACCUAAAUCCGAAUUUUCUACACCAAGUUAUAUCCAAAGCAUUGAAAUAUGUCUAUACAGAAAAUUCAAUCUGUCCGAGAAUUAUAGCCAAUCCAUCCGAGGAUUUUAGCCAAUUCGUUCGAGGAUUAUAGCCAUGGAUUUCUAGCAAGUUUUCAAGGCAAAAACAAGUCAUUCUUUCCCUCAACAUUUCUCCUUUUUAUAUUGAUGAUAGCCCUACAUACCCAUUUGAAAAUGGAGACCAAAACAAACUCCAUACACCAUAGCCAUGGAAGCUAACCAAGGAUUUGAACCAAAUACUACCCAAUCACCCAAUCAAAGAAAACCAAGAUCAUGUUCAAGGUUUCAAGAAAAUACCUUGGUUAGUCGUCAAAGUAGAAUCUCCUAACUCCUCACUCCUUACUUGUGCUUGAUUUGUCAAGAAUCCUCCUUGAUUGUAAGGAAAAAGGAGAGAAAUAAGAAAGGGUUUUGUUGGAGAAGGAAGGAAAAAAGGAAAUGAAGAAGAUGAAGAAAGUUUUUGGUAAAAAUGAAUAGUGAAAUCCCAAUAUCACUUUUAUUCUUUCAAAAUUUCACAUAUUAACACAUUGGUCACUCAACUUAACGUCAUUCACUUUUCACCCCAAAAUAGUAUUUCUUCACACAAAAUUCUCUACAAGACACUUGGGUAUCACAUUCUCCCCCUCUAAUAAAAGUUUUGGCCUCGAAAUUUAACGUACCUCGUUGGUUAAACAAAUGUGAAUACUUAGUUCGCAUUUCCUCUUCGAGUUCCCAAGUAGCUUCACGAGUACUAUGAUUGGACCAUUGAACUUUAACAUAGGGAAUUGUCCUUCUUCUUAGCACUUGAUCUUUACAACCCACAAUUCGAAUUGGCUUCUCACUAUAAGUUUAAUCCUCUCAUACCAUUAAUGGCUCAUACUCCAGGAUAUAACUUGGAUUAAAUACAUAUUUUCUCAAUUGCAAAACAUGAAAUACAUUGUGAACUCUUGAUAAAGAUGGUGGCAAGGCUAACUUGUAUGCCAAUUCUCCAACUCUAUCCAAAAUUUCAAAAAGCCCAACAUAUCUUGCACUCAGUUUUCCACGUUUCCCAAAUUGCAUGACACCCUUCAUUGGUGAAAUUCUAAGAUAUAAUUUAUCCUCUUCUUGAAACUCUAAUGGUCUUCUUUUCAAAUCGGCCCAACUCUUUUGUCUAUCUUGUGCUGUUUUCAACCUUUCUCUCACUAGUGCCAUCUUCUUGAUUGUAGCUUGUACACUUCCUCCCAUAUAGAGCUUCAAAAGCUAGCAUGCCGAUACUACUAUGAUAACUGUCAGUGUAAGAGAACUCACUUAGCACCAGAGAAUCCUCCCAACUGCCCCCAAAAUCCAUAACACAUGCUCUAAGCAUGUCCUCCAAGGUUUGAAUUGUACGCUCUGAUUGCCCGUCAAUUUGAGGAUGAUAAGCUGAGUUGAGGUUUAACUCGGUUCCUGUGGCUUGUUAGAGACUUUUCCAAAAUCGAGAGGUGAAUCUAGGAUACGAUCAGACACAAUACUCACUGGGACACUAUGAUAACGAAUAAUGCAAUCCAUACAGAGAUUAGCCAAAGUAUCCAUAGAUGCAGUAGCAACCAUAGGUACAAAAUGAGCUGAUUUUGUCAGUCGAUCAACUAUUACCCAAAUGGUGUCAUUACCUCUCCUAGACCUUGGUAAUCCAACAAUGAAAUCCAUUGCUAUAUGCUCCCAUUUCCAUUCCGGUAUUGUCAAAGGCUUUAAUAAUCUAGCAGGUCUUUGAUGUUUGGCCUUUAUUUGUUGACAAACUAAGCAUUUAGACACAUAAUUCGCGAUCGCCCUCUUCAUACCACUCCACCAAUACGACUGCUUUAAGUCUCGGUACAUCUCAGUGUUAUUAGGAUGAAUAGAGGCUUGGAAGAGCAAGCCUCCGCCAUUAUUUCUUUUCGUAACUCCGGAUCUUUAGGCACCAUAAGCCGAUUCCACAUCCAUAUACUACCAUCCUUGAGUAGUUGAAAGUCGGGUAAUUCCUCACUUUUAACUUUUUCCUUGAUUUUUGCCAACUCGGUAUCAUCUUCUUGAGUUUCCUUGAUUCUCGAAAUUAAAGAUGGUUAGGCAACUAGAGUUGCGAGCACAUGCAUGAAGGAUUCUACGACCUCUAAAUUCAAUUCCUCCAUUUGUUUGACAGGUGCCGAACCUGUACAAUAAUAAUAAUAAAACCUAACUACCACCAAAAGCAAUCAAUAAUCAAUUCUAAGUACUGGAGCAGGGACUUUAGGUAUGCAAUGAGUUACUUGAUUCACCCUGUUGCUGAAGAGUUUGCUGAAUCCGAUAUACCAAAAUUAAUUAGCUAACUAAAUUUACUAACUAGUAGACAAUGGCAAGCAGGGUCGUCUCCUUAGGGGCUGGAGAGAAAUUUGUUUCUUUUAAGCCAAGACAAACAGAGGGUUUGAAAAUUAGAUGCUAAAGAAUCACUAACUAAACAAAUUAAAUGCAAAAAAUAAUUAAUUGAGAGAAAUAAUUGGAGAAACUCUAGCCAAGGGUGCACUUCAGAAAUGGUUCAUGCAACUGAUCAUCGAUUCAAAUAUAAUUCCAACAAUUAUUAAUAUAUUAGUUAUAGUUGUUAUGCACGCGAUAAACAACCAGCAUUUCCUUAAUUUCUCGAUAGUUAAGGUACAACCGUUAACUAUUUCUCUAACCAAAAAACAACCCUAGGUACGACCGUAGGAUUUAAUUUCUAGUUUGCAUUAAGAUUUAGAAAAGCCCAAUCCUAACUACCAAACACGCUACGAGGGUUUGUUUAAGUUAGAUCGUAUGUUUUCCUGACAUAAACCCAAUUACGCCAGUUGCUACCGAGAUGGAGGUAAUCAAACAAUUACGGAUUCAACUACCCCCAAUUAGCAAAUUAACUACGUGAAUAACUAAAUAUUGCGCACUAUUCAGUCAUACACAAUAGCUAUGACAAUUAAAGGUAGAAAACAUACAAAUACUAAUAAAUGAAGGAAACAGUUAAAACAAUUUAGAUCUCACAGUUAUUGUUGAACCAAAUUUUCAAUUGUCUCCUUGACUAGAAGUGGGUGAUUUGUUCAUCCUCAUUGAGAGUAACUCACGCAAUUCCAUCGAAGGAAAUUGCGUCAAUGUUUGACAAUAGAAGAACUACUCAGAGGAGAAGAGAGCCAAGCGGCUGCCUUCCUCCCCUUUUCUUAUUCCCUGGCCGAGUAGUAAUCACGCGGGAUCCGGCUUUUGUUCUUCCUAUUUUCUAGCUUUCUAAAAACACAUUGAACUUCCUCCCUCACAAUCCGUAGUAAAUGAUUCCAAAAAAAUCUCCUACUAUAGGAAAACUAACUUCCUAAAAGAUAGGUACUCAAGCGCUUAAAAGUCUCCUAAACCAACCCAAUUACUAAUUAGAAACUUGGCAAAUAAUAUCAUCUUCCAAUUAUGAUGACGACUCCCACUUGGAUUAGGAUACUGCCCGGCAUAGAAUCCCGCGCACUCCAGACUUGAUUGAUGUCUUCUCACGCGUCCACACUUUCUUGGAGGAAAAUCUUCUAAAAACUGUUAUUUCUGCACUUUCUUUCUCCAAUUGGCUAAACAUCCCCUAAACAUAAAAUUCAAACAAAAUAUGUCCAUUAAUGCAAUAUCCAAUCCAAUAAGAAAAGGAAAUUAUAAGAAAAUUAAUGCUAAAUUAGCGUUCUAUCAUUGUUUUACUAACAUAACUGCUAUCAUUCCUGAAAUUUUCCUGCUCAAAGCAUCAGCAACCUUGUUUGCUUUUUCUGGAUGAUAACUAAUGGUAAGAUCAUAAUCUUUCAUUAACUCAAGCCAUCUUCGUUGUCUCAUGUUUAGCUCUUUCUGCGUGAACAAAUACUUUACGCUUUUAUGAUCUGUAAAGACUUCACAUUGCUCCCCAUACAAGUAGUGCCUCUAAAUCUUCAAGGCAAAAACAAUGCCUGCCAAUUGCAAAUCAUGUGUAGGAUAGUUGUGUUCAUACCGCUUCAAUUGACAAGAUGCAUAAGCUAUGACCUUCUCAUUUUGCAUUAGCACACAUCCCAACCCAUUUUUGGAUGUAUCGCUAUAAAUAGUGAAACCUCCAGAUCUAGAAGGUAAGGUGAGAACUGGUGCCGAAACAAGCUUAUUCUUUAAUUCUUGAAAACUAUUUUAACAUUUAGGUGUCCACUCAAACUUAACAUGCUUUUGAGUUAAACAACUCAAGGACAAAGCAAUAGUAGAAAGUCCUUCAACAAAAUUUCUAUAGUAGCCAACUAAGCUCAGAAAACUCCUCAAUUCUACCACAUCAGUAGGUCGGGGACAAUCCACAAUAGAUUCUAUCUUCUUAGGAUCCACAAAGACACCAUCUUGAGAAAUAACAUGCCCAAGGAAGGACACACUUUGAAGCCAAAAUUCACAUUUGUUGAGUUUUGUAUAAAGUUUCUCACGCCUCAAGAUUUGUAAAACAUCUCGCAGGUGAUUUUCGUGCUCUGCUUCACUUGGAGAGUACACCAAUAUAUCAUCAAUGAACACCACCACAAAUCGGUCUAAUUGCUUUUUGAAUAUCCUAUUCAUCAAAUCCAUAAAGGCUGCAGGAGCAUUAGUCAACCCUAAAGGCAUGACGAGAAAUUCAUAAUGGCCAUACCUUAUUCUAAAUGCACUCUUUGGAAUAUCUUGCAGUUUAAUCCUUAAUUGAUGGUAUCUGUAAUGAAGAUCGAUUUUUGAAAACACCUUAGCCCUUUUAAAUUGAUCAAACAGGUCGUCAAUACGAGGCAAUGGAUACUUGUUCUUGAUCAUAAUUUUAUUGAGCUCCCAAUAAUCAAUGCACAAUUGCAUACUUCCAUCCUUCUUCUCUACAAAUAAAACUGAUGCACCCCAAGGGGAUACACUUGGUCGAAUCAAUUUCUUGUCAAGCAACUCCUGAACUUGAACUUUAAGCUCCUUCAACUCUGUGGGGGCCAUCCGAUAGGGUGCCUUAGAUAUAGGUUCUAAGUUGAGUAUUACAUUAAUCUCAAAAUCAAUUUCUCUCUUGGGAGGUAGACCUAAUAAGUCAUUUGAAAACACAUCUGAAAAUUCUCUUGCAAUUGGGAUAUCCUCAAGUUUUAUCUCUUUCUUACUAGAGUCUACUAUAUAAGUCAGAAAACAUUCACAUCCCUUCCUAAUUGCUCUCCAAGUUUGUAUGGCAGAUAAAAUGGGUAGAGACUUCUUCUUUGGUUUUCCUCAACACCCUUGAAAAGAUAAAGGUGGAAUGUUUGGGGUUUAAAAAUCAACACUUUUACACAUACAAUCUAUAUGGGCAUAAUUUUGUGAUAGCCAAUCCAUACCUAAGAUAGCAUCAAAUUAUAUUCAAUUACACUAGAUUUGCCUUAAACUCUCUCCCACCUAAAUCUAAAGUACAACCUUCAUACAUAAGGUGAGAAACUAAAACUUUUCCCCCGGGAAUGGCUACACGAUACGGGUCAUCCAAAACACAGGGUUUAAUAUCUAACUCUCAUGCAAACUUCUUUGAAAUGAAAGAAUGGCAAGCCCCACAACCAAAUAACACAUCCGCUGGAAGAGAAUUAAUCAUUUCCAUACUUGUCACAACAUCCUCUACUCCUGCUGCUUCUUGUUCAGUCACCUUAGAGAUUGUGUAAGGUCGAUCUGCACUAGAAUUCAAGCUAUUUCCUAGCCUAUUGUUGCCUCUAGUUUGCUUAGAAUUCGGGCAAUUACUCACUUUAUGCCCCAUUUCUCCACAACUAAAACAAGCUCCCGUUUUCCACCUGCAUUCUCCCGAAUGAACCCGAUGACAAUAAUCACACAACUUAGAUGGGUUAGUAGGUAGAUACCUUGGAAAAGGUUGUUGAGAAGAAUUAGCCUAUUGCGAAACUAUAGGUCUUGGUAACGGUGCUUGUCGGGGAGGUUGCAUUGGUCGAAGAGGUUGCAUUACACGAGAAGGCUAACCAUGUUGACGAAGUUGGCCUUGCAUUACGAUUUAUCUAUUUCUCCUUUGUCUCGUCUCUUCAUCCUCCUGAAGAAUGUCUUGUUCAACAUCUAAACUAGCUUCAUACAUUUGGUCACAAUUGGCAUAGAAAUUUUCAGAUAUUUUUGAUUGAAUCUGACUAUUCAAUCCUCCCUUAAAGGAGACCAUCUUCAUAGUCUCAUCGGCCAUUGUAGAAGGGACGAAGCAUCCCAAGGAGAGAAAAAUAGUGUUACUCACCCACAGACAUGGAACCUUGAUUAAGGUUAUUGAAUAUUCGAAUAUUUUGAACUCGAAUAGCUGGUGGAAAGUAAUGCUGUAGAAACAUCUUUUUGAACUCAUCCCAUGUCAAAGUACAACCUGAAGAAACCAUGGUCAGGGCUACACCAUCCCACCAUUUCUCUGCUUCACCAAGAAAGAUGUCACUACUUGAGGUCGAAUAUCUUCUGGCACCAUCAUAGUUUGGAAUUUGUUCUCAAUUUGGGAUAACUAUCUCUCUGCCACAUUCAAGUUUGGACCUCCAUCAAAAGUAGGCAAAUAGACCUUGCUAAACUCCUUGAAAUGGUACUUAACACUAACCCAUACCUUGCUCUCUUUCUUCUUGUUGUUGUUGUUGAUAUUGCUGCCAUCCAUGCAUGAACUAAUAUGCCACAGAUAAGGUAGUUGGAUCUAAUUUUAUUAUGACACCCAAACUUUUGCAUUUUAGCCCCAUAUGUGGUAAACUAAUUUCAUUAACUCUACCAUGACAUCUUAUCUUUUAUAAUUUAGUCUCGUAUAUGAUAAAUCGAUAUCAUUAAUUCUAUUAUGGCACCCUAUCCUUUGCACUUUAUCCUAUGUUUUUUUCAUUAGCAAAAUGCGGAAGGUAUUGUAAUAAAAAAAUGUAUAUAUAUUUUAUAAUUGAUCCAAAUUUAGUUAAUAACUUGGUAUAAAGUUAAAAAAUAUCAUGGAUUCCCUAUCCAGUUCUCUUGACAACACCUAGAAAAUUAUUGAUUAGCAUAGUAGGAAAACAAUGGCAAAGAAGAAUAAAUUUUAAUAUGAAAUUAAGUAAAGUCUUGACAAUUGGAUGGCUAGAGUUUAUUAUUAAUUACACUAGUCACAUUGUUUAUGGUUUAUGAAUCAGUACUUGUACUAAAUACAUUUAGUGUUUCAUGCAUGUAUUAGCAAACUAUUUUGGUUAUUUGAUCAACUAAACAUAUUGUUAGGUCUUGUCAGACCAUAAUUCGUACAUAAUUGACAAAAUUAUUAAAUUAAAACAAAAAAUAUUUACAUUAAAAGAUUUUUUUUGAAUCAUAAACAUAUUUUUAAUAAGCUUUUUAGUUUUUGAACAUUAUUUUUUUGUAGAGAUAAAAAAACCUAUGUUAGUAAAAAAAAUUAUCAAAAAACACUAAAUUUUCAUAUUCUAAAAUUUUAAUACAACAAAUAAAGUUUUAAUAUAACUUGUGAGCUAACAACUCAAAAUAAUAACCAAUUUUAAUUACACAGAGAUGGGGGAAAAAAGAGAGAUAUUAGAGAAGGCAUUGUUUUUGUAAAGAAAGGUCCAAAUAGUUUGUAUAAAAGUCACUUGAAAGUGUUAUUUUUUGGCUGAAGCUAAAAUGGAAGCGGGAAUUGAAAAUUGAAAGAGUAGAGGCGGGUGAACAAAAGAAGCAGAAACGACGUCAUUUUAGCAAGAGUUAAACAAAAACACUCAUAACACUUAGAAAAAUUUCGGACAAAACUUGCUUUCCCCCUUCUUGCCAACUUCGGACACUACAUCUUCUCCUUCUCUCCAUUAUCAUCUUGCUGAAAUUAUCCAGAAAAUCAUUUUAACCCAUCAUUUUCAUCCGUAAUUUCAGCUACCCAAAAGAUUUGGGCAGCUUUAGUGGAGUUGUAGAUAGCAAAAAUCCUUAAGUCGGGGUAGCACUUGCUUGCUGGCAAGAACACAGAAAAUUGACCAUGAAUUUUUGGGGAAAGCCAAAGUUUGAAGACUGAAUCUUAAGGAAACAAGAGCUAAGGUUGUCACAGCAUAAUUUGAGGUAAAUAAUCUGUUACAUUUUUCCAUCUAGUUUCGAUAUUUUCUGUCAAAUGUAGGUCGAGUGAGCUGAAUCUUGAGUUUAUGGGCCCAAUCUUCCACUUUAAUCUUUCAAUGGUGAGGGAUUGAGAGAGUUUUGAAAGUGAAACAAAGUGAAAGGGAAGCUAUCCUUUGUGAACUGUCCAGACCCCCUAAGAAAAUUCAUGUUUGAAUUUUGGAUGUGGAAAUUUUACUUGUAGCGAACUAUUUUUCUGAGUUUGAUAUGUUAAAAAUUGAAACAUUUUUGUGUAGUUGAUAGCGAUUUAUUAUAAUUGUUGGAGAAAGUUAAUAACAUGUGCUGUUUUUUAUGUAAUUUUUCAGUUCUAAUUCUAUUUGUAAGAGUAGCUACAUAUUAUAAUGGCUUACAUACAACUGAUUUUGAGGUAAUAGUGCUUUAAUAUUCUAUAAGUCAAGUAUCCUUUUGGGAGCCAAUUCGAUAUUUAGUUUCUAAGAGCUUAGAAGAAAUUUUGAUCAGUUUGGCGACUUCUAGAUAUUGAGGGAAUGAGAAGCUAUGCAAAGCGAGUGGAUUAUGUUGUUGGUAAGUGGAAGUGAGGCAGAUUGUAUAAUCUUAACUUAUGGCCUUUGACUUUAGAAGUUAACUGUAUAAACUUACCAUUACCACACACUAAUUAGACAUUGUUUACUCUGAUGUGGAGAAACAAACUCCUAAAUUGAUAAAUUCAUGUUAUUGUUAUGAUUGUUUUAUUGCACAUUAUGGUGUUAGUGUUGCAGUAGAGUUUACUAUGGCUUUUUAAGAUUCCUCCCUAUUGAAUUAGAGUUUUUGACCUGGAUUUACCAACUGAACGUGAAAGAUUCUGCAACAAAUAAAUGUUAGCUUUGGAGUAGAAAAGCAUUGUUGUCCACCCUGUAGUUGUAUUUGUUAGAGAAGUUAUUAAGGGGACCAAGAAUAAGCCAAUCUGUAAUGGCUUAUACAGUUAAAUAAGCCAUUAUGAAUAAAGUAGUAGUUUAGCCAUUACAAUCUGUAAUGUCAUCUGCACAUUAAUGCUUUUGCAUUGUAAUGAGAAAGUGGACUCUAUUUUGAAAAUUAUGCACUAUGUUUAAGUUUGGAGCAGCAUUAACUCAUUAUUCUGCGGCAAAUGUCUUAUACAUUUGCACGGGUAAUUAGCUCUUCAAUGCAUGUUUACUUGCUAUGUAGAGACAUUUUCACUCUGAAAUGCAACCUAAUCUGUGAUGUUUGCUUGUAAGAGAGGUGCUGCAUGUUUAUUUGAAGAGUAUAGUGCUCAAACUCGCUCAAACGAUGACUAAUGAUAGUGGUGUUUCUGACAUAAUACAUGUAAGUGUACUUUGAAACUUCUUAUUAAUUAACUCUAAAGAUUUUGAAGCUAUUCUGUGGCAUGUCAUCUUAGACAAGUUGUGUUUGACUUUGAUAUGAUUCAUAGCCUCCAAAAGAUGUGGAUUCCAAUUUGGUCUGGUUUGUUGGAGUCUCAAGAUUCUCCUAACUUCAACUUUUAUUUCUUUCCCUUUUUUCUUUGGCUUCUUUAUAUGGAAUUUUUUUGUAAAGUUAUUUUAUUGAGCAACCAAGUUAAUGCCGCAUCAAAGAUUUCAUUGGCAAGUUACUUAUUAAGUUACUAGCAGGCAUAACUGUGGCGUUGCGCGGUGGAUUAGAUAGCAUGUAUGCCUAUUUAGGUAUGAAUAAAUAGACAUUACAUGAAUAGUGAUAAUGUCACGGAAUUAAACAUCUUUUUUUUCAAUACGGAAUUAAAUACCUUGUGGUUACAUUAUCUAAGUUUUAUUUGUUUAGAUCCAUAUUCCGCGCUAAUUAAUCAUUAAUAUAUCCAUGAACGUCUAGAAGAAGGUAAGCAUUUAAUCGAAUUAAAAUUUAAUAAUAAUAUAAAAACAAUAUAGAAAGCAAUAUAACUUUGGAGAUCAAGAAUGUAAAUUUAAAAUUUAUGAUAGACAGAAUAAGGGGUAGAAAUUGGAACUCAAAACAAGGUUAAUUCUAUUUAAGGCAUUUAGAAGUACCAAACCAGAAAUUGGCACACUGCAUCGGACAAAAGCAAUUGCAUUAAUGAUUUGGAGUCUACUUACAUAAUAUUUAGAUCCUGAACAGGCAAUGCUAAGGGUACAUAAUUUCUAUAUGUUAAUCUCAGUUCUUAGCUUUUGAUGAUUACAAAACAAAUGGAUGUUGCUAAUAUCUCCUCAAAGACCUUUUUAGAAAUGAAGCAAAUUAGGUUCAAAGAUGAACCUGUUGUUGAAGCUGUCGGACACACAAAAAAACUGGAUCAGACGUUCGACAAUCAUUGAACAACUUCGGAUGUAUAAUGAACUCCAUUACCGGACAUCCGAAAGAAAUCAAACACCUCCUUAAGUUCACUGACCUCGAUCGGACGUAGAACAUUAAAGCACCGGACGUCCACAGAAUUGAAGAAGGAUUCUCAAACUUUACCAUCUGCUUUCGGGGGCAAACUUUGGAGGUACCGGACGUCCGAAAGAAUUAAAGAAAUUUUUUCUUACUCUCUGCCUGCUGUCGGACACAAGAAACAAGACUACCGGAUGUCCGACACUACCAACGGUUAGUUGAUUUUUCAGCUACCUUCUAUUCGUUAGAAGCUUAAAUGAAGGAAUUUUUUGGUCUCCUAUCAAUAGAGCAAAGUCAACCACUUCAAAUUACUUUUGCUCAUUGAAACUACAAAAGAUCGAGAGCAAUUUUAGUGAGAAAAUUCUCUUCAAAGAAGAUUUGUACUCUUAGUUGUGUAGAUUUCGUACAAGCUUUUCUUGUGUGAGAAAAUUACUUCAAUAGUGUAGCUUUGUAAGGGUUAUCCGAGUGAUAAUAAAACUUGCUAACUUGACCAAGUGUGGUUUGGAGCAAGGAGAAAGUGAUCCUUUUUUUGUGCACAUAGAUUGGUUGUAAUUGAUUAACUUGAAGAAACUUACUCUAUAAAGUGAUAUUCAAACUCAAGAGGAGUUUGAAAUUUGGUUUGCUAUUCUAUCUCUUUUAUUUACUAUACUGCAAUAUAAAUUGUUCAUCUCUUCUACUCACGGACAUUUGUACUUUCUCAUUAUUUGUUCCAUUGUAUGGUCAUCUAGAAAGAGGGUAAAUUUCAUAUUCAACCAAAAAGUGUCUCAUAAUUUGGUUAGUUUUUAAUUUACCUAAUUCACCCCCGUCUUACGUUGUUUUCGAUCCUUACAAUUGGUAUCAGAGUUUGGUCUCCUAGAGAUUAAGCUCAAUCGGCUUUGGAAUAAAAAUGACAACCAACAAUGCCAUGUUUUUUGAAGGAUAAUCUGUCACUAGACCCCCAAUGUUUAAUGGAUCCAAUUAUGUGAAUUGGAAGGAAAGAAUGAUUAUGUUCUUGUAAUCUAUUGAUAUUGAACUAUGGUUUAUUGUUAAUGAAGGUUCAUUUGAAUAACUCUACAAUUGAUGAAGCCACUCAUAGACUAAGACCAAAAAUCAGAAAUGAGUUGACUGCUGAGAAUAAAUCUCAUCUCACCUUGAAUACCAAAGGUAUGAAUGUGUUGUAUAGUGCUUUAGAUUCAAAUGAGUCUAUUAGAGUCAAAGGUUGCCGAUCUGCAAAAGAAAUUUGGGAUAAACUAAGAGAGAUCCAUGAAGGAAGUGAGAAUGUAAGAGAAUAAAAGAAAUCAAUCCUAGUUAUUAAGUAUGAAUCAUUUAAGAUGGAACCUUAUGAAAACAUUGAUAAGAUGUAUUGUAAAUUCAAUGAUCUCAUUAAAGAUUUAGAGGUGCUGGAAAAUGAAUACACCUUAGGUGAGAAAAAUAGAAAGAUUUUGAAUGCACUGACCAAAGAUUGGGAGAGUAAAGUGACUUCCAUUGAAAAAGCUAAAGAUCUAAAUACUAUGUCUAUUGAAUCUCUCAUUAAUUCUCUAACUUCUUAUGAGUUGAACCUUAAGUCUAAGGUACAAGAGGAGGAAGAUGCAAAAGUGAGAAGGAGCAUUGCUCUAAAAACUUCUCAAGAUGAAGAUGAUUCAACUUCCUUAGAUGGAGAUAAUGUAGAAGUUGAUGACAAUGAUCUUGCUCUUAUCACAAGGAGUUUUAAAAGAAUCCUCAACAAAAGGAGAUUUAGAAGAAGAGGACCUAGCAAUACAUUUUCUAAUCAGUUCAAUAAUUCAAGAAACAAAGGAAAAUAAGAGACUAAUAAAAAGCAAGCAGACAAAUACUUUGAAUGCGGCCAACUUGGACACUACAUGAGUGAGUGUCCAAUGAAGAAGAAGAAAGAAGGAAAAGUUGAACGAAAAUCAAAGUUCAACAACUUUCAAAUUACAUGGAAUGAUUGUAACUCAGAUGGUGAUAUCGAAGAGAAAGAGGAAUCUGCUCAAAUGGCUUUCAUGGCCAUUGAUGAUGAUGAGGUAACUACUUGCAACUGUCAACCUGUUGGUGAUGAUGAAUCUAAAGAUGAUGUUGAGUCUUUCAUUGAGAGAUUGCAUAAUAGCUUAAAAGAAUCGUAUGCUAGAAACAAGGAACUAAAAUAGAAAAUUAAUUUUUUGAUUCAAAACAAUGCAAAUCUUUUUCGACAAAACAAAAUGCGGAAAGCUGAAAAUGACUGCUUGAAAAAGGAUGAAAAUGUUCUACUUUUUGAGCUUGAUAGAAAAACAAAGCUGUGUGAAUUGUUCAAAAAGGAACAAGGUGACUUGAAAAGAAGAAUGGAUGGCCUAGAUAAAUUGCUUAAACAUACGAAACAAGACUGCUUUCAAAAGAGUGAAUCAAAACCUCACUUUGACAUUCACAAGAAAAGGUUGAACUCUAAUGCAAACGAAUUUAACAUCUAUAAAAGAAGGUAAGUUAGAUUUAUUAAACCUGUCUUUGUAGGAAACUCACUGACUAUGUGUAGCUUUUGUUGUCAAGUUGGUCACAUGAAAAAUAAUUACUAUGUAAGAAAGAAUAUGAGAAAUGACAUGAAAUGCAUGUGGAUAGUUAGACAUAAUGUUAACUCUCAAGGACCCAAAAAGUAGUUGGGUACCAAAUAUCAUCUUGUGAACUUUUGUGUAGGUGAGAUUGGUGAAUGUUAUUAAAGAAUCAAAAUGGUUCAUAGAUAGUAGAUGCUUAAGGCAUAUGACUGGUGAUCCCUCACAGUUCAUCAAACUCAAGUCAAAAUCAAGUGGAAAAGUAACAUUUGGACAUGAUAACAAAGCCAAAACAGUUGGAGUUAGAGAUGUUGGUAAGAAUGGCCAAACUUUUGUUCACAAUGCUCUUCUAGUUGAUAAUCUGAGUUAUAAUUUGUUGAGUGUUAGUCAAUUGUGUGACAGAAAUCUGUUUGUGCUAUUUAAAAGGCAUGAAUAUCUUAUUCUUGACUCAAAAUUUAACAUUAUUUUCAAAGAAAAAAGAGUGAAUGACAUUUAUGUAGUUAUUCUAGAAAAUAUUGAUUCUUUCAUCCUUAAAUGUCUUAAAACUGCAGAUGAGGAUCUUUGGUUGUAACAUAGAAGAUUUUGUCACUUCAAUAUAAAUUUGUUAAAAAAAAUUUCAAAAAAGAACUUGUUAGAAAUUUAUCAAAAAUUAACUUUGAAAAAGACAAAAUUUGUGAUGCUUGUCAAAUUGGAAAACAAGUAAAAGUUUCUUCAAAUCUAAGAAUUGUGUUUCUACUUCAAAACCACUGGAUCUUUUACAUCUUGAUUUAUUUGGUCCUACACAAAUUGCUAGUUUGGGUGAUAAAAUAUAUUAUUUGAUUAUUGUUGAUGAUUAUUUUAAAUACACUUGGGUUAUAUUUCUUGCUCAAAAGGAUGAUACUUUCAAAAGUUUUGUUUCAUUAUUUGCAAAAGUUCAAAAUCUGAUUGGAUUGAAAAUUAUCAAGAUUAGAAGUGACAAUGGCUCGGAAUUUAAAUUUUGUGGUUUUCCAGAAUUUUGUGAUAACAAUAGAAUCACAAUGAGUUUUCAAUUGCUAGAACUCCUCAACAAAAUGGUGUUGUUGAAAGAAAAAAUAGAACUCUUCAAGAAACCGUACGAACUAUGUUAAAGUGAAUGUAACUUACUAAAAUAUUUUUGGGCCGAAACCGUUAAUACCACAUGUUAUGCUAUGAAUAGAGUUCUUUUGAGACCUAUUUUAAACAAAACCUCUUAUGAGUUAAUGUUUGAUAAAAAGCCAAUUGUUAGUUAGUUCAAAGUUUCUGGUUGCAAAUGCUUUAUUUUAAAUAUCAAGAAACACUUUGGAAAGUUUGAAAAGAAAUCUGAUGAAGGUAUUUUUUUGGGAUAUUGUGAUAACAAAAGAGGCUUUAGAGUCUAUAAUAGAAGGACUCUUGUUAUUGAAGAAGCUAUACAUGUCACCUUUGAUGAAUCUAAUGAUAAUAUUUUCAAAAGUAGUUGUGAGGAUGAUGAUGUAGGUGUCCAAGAAGGACUCAAGAAACUCACAAUUCAUGAUCAAAACGAUACUCCACAAGAAGAGAGCUCAAAAAAAGAUAAUCCCCAAGAUAGUCAAGCAUUAGAAGAAAAUGACAAUCAUGGUGAUGCACCUAGGAAUCUUCCAAAGGUUUGAAAGUUUGUUCAAAAUCAUCCUAAGGAAUUCAUUAUUGGUUAUCCAUCCGAAAAGGUAAGAACUCGUUCCUCUUCAAAACAAUUGAUGGACAAUUUUGCUUUGGUCUCACAUUUUGAACCAAAAAAUAUUAUUGAUGCAUUGAAAGAUGAAAACUGGAUUUUAACUAUGGAAGAGGAACUAAAUCAAUUUGAAAGGAACAAGAUGUGGACAUUAGUUGAAAAAUCUCAUGAUCAUCCUAUUAUUGGCACAAAAUAGGUGUUUAGAAAUAAAAUGACUGACAAAGGUGAAGUGGUGAGAAAUAAGGCUAGACUAGUUCUUAAGGGGUAUGCUCAAGAAGAAAGAAUAGACUUUGAUGAAACAUUUACUCCCAUAGCAAGACUAGAAUCUAUUAGAAUGUUUUUGGCAUUUACACGUUUCAAGAAUUUUAAAUUAUUUCAAAUGGAUGUUAAAAGUACUUUCUUAAAUAGUUUUAUUGAUCAAGAGAUAUAUGUUGAUCAACCUCCCGGUUUUGAGAAUGAAAUGUUUCCAAAUCAUGUGUUUAAACUCUUAAAAACUUUGUAUGGUUUAAAACAAGCUCCAAGAGUAUGAUAUGAAUGCUUAAGUGGUUUCUUGAUUGAAAAUGGUUUUGAAAGGGGCAUUAUAAACACCACUUUUUUCACCAAACGAUGUUCCAAUGAUCUACUAAUUGUGCAAAUAUAUGUUAAUGAUAUUAACUUUGGUGCUACUAAUGAGUAUUUGUGUAUGAAUUUUUUCAACUAUUAUGCAAAAAGAGUUUGAGAUGAGCAUAAUGGGAGAAUUGAAUUUUUUUCUUGGGUUUCAAGUGGAACAAACUCGAGAAUAAACAUUCAUUAAUCAAGCUAAAUACACCAAGGAACUGCUCAAAAGGUUCGGUAUGGAGGAAUCAAAACAAGUUGGAACACCAAUGUGCACAUCUAUCAAACUUGACAAGGAUGAAGGAGGUAUAAAUGUUGAUGAAAAGAAGUAUAGAGGUAUGAUUGGCAGCUUACUUUAUUUAACUGCAAGUAGACUUGAUAUCAUGUUUGCUAUUUACUUGUGUGCUGGUUUCCAAUUUUGUACAAAAGAAUCUCACUUGCUUGCUGUGAAAACAAUUUUUAAAUAUUUGAAAAGAACAUUGAACUAUGGUCUUUGGUAUCCUAGAUGUCAUGAAUGUCCUUUAUAUGGUUUCUCGGAUGCUGACUUUGGUGGAUGUAGAAUAGAUAGAAAGAGUACUAGUAGUACAUGCCACUUUCUAGGUAAUUGUUUAGUAUUUUGGUUAAGUAAGAAAUAAAAUCCUAUUUCAUUGUCUACGGCCGAAACGGAAUAUGUUACCACUAGUGCAUGUUAUACUCAAUUGAUGUAGAUGAAAAGUACCUUGAAUGAUUUUGGAUUAGUAUAUGAUUGUGUGCCUGUGUGUUGUGACAAUACAAAUGCGAUAAAUUUGACAAAAAAAUCUCAUUCAACAUUCUGGGAUAAAGCAUAUUGACAUAAAGCAUCAUUUCAUUAGAGAUCUCCUCCAAAAAGAUGAAAUUUGUGUGCAAUAUGUUUGUUCAAAGGAUCAAAGUACUAACAUUCUCACAAAAGCCCUUUCACUAGAUCAGUUUAUAUUUUUAAGAACAAAAUUGGGUAUUAUUGAAAAGUUUUUUUGAAAAAUUAUCUGGUCACACUUUAUCAAACGUCUGACAGUGUUCUUGAUCACUUUUCCAGAAAAUUUGGUUUUGGACGAUAGUGUCGGACGCUUCACUUCGUUCAACCGUCCAACACUCUAAAUAUGCUUGUUAUAAGUCAAUUUUCUCCUUCAUUCAGUUUAUUUUCUAUCCGUUAUAUCAGACGCAACUUCUCAUCCUCUCCUAUUUUCAAAUUUCAAAAUUCGUCUAUCUUCUGAACAAGUUCCAAGAAAUUAAUUAGUUCAAAGCCUUUACACUCUUUUUACCCGUUCAUAACCCCUCAUAACUUCCUCUAACUGCCAACUGGUCUAUAAAUCCCAAUUUUCACCCGAAACCCUAGUCACUCAAAAGUCACUCUCUCUGGAUGAUUCAAGCCCUCAUUAUAAUUAAUACCGCAUUUUUAGUCAGUCUCAUACAUAUUUGCAUCAUUCUCCAUAACAAAAACAAUCUGCAUUUCAUCAUGGUAAGAAUUAGGGGAGGAUCUGUCAGUGCAAGACGCACCACCAGGUUCAGGUUGAGGGAUGAAGAUACUGAAAUUAUUGAGCCCUCUACCACUAAAUUUCCAAAAAGGGCGACAAAAAAACAUGGUGGAAAAGGGAAAGGUUCGGCCCAAAAAAAACAUUCAAAGGAAUGGCAAACUACUUCCGCUGAGCAAACUGCAUUACCUCUUAUCAGUGAUAGUGAAGAGGAACUGGAGCAGCUUACUAAUGUUGACGCAUCUGUCACGAAAUCACCCAGAAAAGGGACUGAACCUCAUUGUAAAAAGGGGAAAUGGUCUGCUAAAAAGAAUGGGACAGUUCAAACUAAGGAAAGGCAAACUGCUGAUCCUUCUGUUGAGCAAAUUGAGGAACAGCAGACUGUUGAGCAAAAUGCUAAGAAUCAGCAAGCUACUGAGACUUCCACCAGAAAGUCACCAAGAACAAGGUCUGGUGGACAGACCGAUAUACAUGAUACUCCUCGAAAUGGAAAGAGGAAACGAACUGCCAGGGAGCAACCUGAGGCUCAGAUUGCAGAGGAAUCUACCUCAUUGCCAAAGUUCAUUGAUGAUGAUGCCCGAGAUAGGUUCAAAUGGGUUUCUCAGAAGGACUUCAUCACCCAAUGGACAAUUAUCCCUCAUGAAUUCCGUAAGUUUGACCUUGAACCUGUCAUUAAGCUCUUUGAAUUCCAAAAAUGGAUUCAUAUUUUGACCAUUCCCAACACCUACUACCCUGACAUGCUUCAUCAAUUUUUUGUCAAUCUCAGGAAGGGUAAAUCCCAUACUGAUCUAGUCUCACGAGUAAAUUCUGUUGAUAUAGAAUUAAAUCCUGAUAUUGUCAACACUGUUAUGAAAAUCAAAAUUGAAUAUGGUUUUAAAGGAAAAAUUGCUAACUUUUUCUCAUAUGAACAAUUUCUUUCUGCCUAUAAUCACUUUCAUAUUGCAAAACUGAUGACUUAUUUUCAAACUCAUUUUAAUACUCCUACUGAGGCAAGAUUGGAAGAUCUCAAUCCUCAAAAUUUGAUCAUCUUCUCUAUAAUUUCAUCUAUUAGUUCCUACUGAUGGUUAUAGGACAAAUGCCAACAAAAUGGAGCUUUACCUGUUUUCCUGCUUUCUUGAAAAAAUUUGAAUUGAUUUCGGCUUUGUUAUGUGUAAAUUCUUACUCAAAAUCAGCACUGAUAGCCGUAGAAAACUUUCCUAUGAAAAAUUUCUGAUCCCAAUUUUUGCUCAUUUCAAAAUUCCCUUCACUGACAAAUCACCAAAAGAAAGUACAUCUAUUGUCUUUUCAAAGGCAUAUUUUGAAAGAAAAAAUCUGAUGUUUUUUGAUGGAAAAUGGUGCUACAAGGAAACUGUUUUGGAGACUAGGAGAAAGAAUCAUCAUGAAACACCUAUCUCCCCUAGGACUCCUCAAGAUCAGUCCAUGUAUAUUUCAUCCUUUACUAUCCAUCCUAGAAGGUUAGCCACUAAGCCCUCUUCAACUAACUCUGAGGUUAUUUCUUUGCUUGAAAAUCUCAAACAACACAUCCUACUCCUUGAAAAUAGUCUAAUGAUGACCGUGUCACCCGACCAACAAGCCACCUUCAUUGACAAAAGAAAUUUGCAUGUACCUCCUGUUCCUCAAGACAAUGAGAAUGUACACCAAAAGGGACCUAGAAUUGAGUCAACUGAGCAAACUCCUCGUACUGAAACUACUCUAGAGAUUCGUGCUUCCAGUUCUCAUCCACAGGACAAGGGAAAGGCUCCAGCAACUGAAGCGGAAACUGAAGAGGAUGAUGAUGAGGAAACUAAAGAGGAAGAAGUGGAUCCUGCUCAGUUUCGCCUAGCAAGAAGGAGGUCUGGAUCGUCCAAGAUUACAAUUUAGGCACCUCUAGGCUCGUGCACUUCAUGUUUAAGUAGGCAUCUCAUAUUAGACAUUUGCAUCUUCGGCAUUUUAACAUUUCAAGUACUCUGUACUCAAGAUUCUGGUUGUUUGGUUAACUCUUCUGGCUUAUAAACUAUUCGGUUAACUUCUCUAUGUUGAAUGGUUUCUAAUUAAUUUUGUUGGUUAUCUUUUUGGUUAAUUCUGUUUGCUUCUGGGUGCUUGGUAUCCCUGUGACUUCUGAUUUUUAACAUUGUUUGCUGAUAUUGGUGAUUGUUGAUUUUGUUGGAUAUUCUUGGUUAAUGAUGUUGUUGAUGACAUUGAUGUUGGAUACAGGAUUGGAAUUGGAUUUGAAUUGUAUUAAUGUCACUGGCUAUUAAGAUCUUCUAAUGAUGACAAAAAGGGGAAGAAAUGAUAACAAGUUACUACAGGAAAUGUAAUCUGGUAAAUACGUGAGGGGUAGCUAUUCUGAGGGAGAGUGUCUACCUUUUUUGAUUCAUUAAGUGAGGGGGAGUUUUUAACUUAAUUAUUUUCCUCCAUCCACUGUUUUGUCAUCAUCAGAAAAUGGGAGAUUGUUAAUCUCAGUUCUUAUCUUUUGAUGAUUACAAAACAAAUGGAUGUUACUAAUAUCUCCUCAAAGACUUUUUUAGAAAUGAAGCAAAUCAGGUUCAAAGAUGAAACUGUUGCUGAAGCUGUCGGACAUACAAAAAAACUGGAUCGGAUGUCUGACAAUCAUUGAGCAACUUCGAACGUAUGAGGAACUCCAUCACCGGACGUCCGAAAGAAAUCAAAACUCUUCCUUAAAUUCACUAAUCUCGAUCGAACGCAGCACCGGACGUCCGAUAGAAUUGAAAAGGAUUUUCAAACUUUACCAUCAACUUUCGGACGCAAACUUUGGAGGUACCGAAAGUCCAAAAGAAUUAAAGAAAAUUUUUCUUGCUCUCUGCCUGCUGUCGGACGUAAGAAACAAGACUACCGGACGUCCGACGCUACCAAUGGCUAGUUGACUGUUCAACUGCCUUCUAUCCGUUGGAAGCUUUAAUGAAGGAAUUUUUUGGUCUCCUAUAAAUAGAGUAAAGUCAACCACUUUAAAAUACUUUUGCACAUUGAAACUACAAAAGAUCUAGAGCAAUUUUAGUGAGAAAAUUCUCUUCAAAGAAGAUUUAUACUCUUAGUUGUGUAGAUUUCGUAUAAGCUUUUCUUGUGUGAGAAAAUUACUUCAAUAGUAUAGCUUUGUGAGGGUUAUCCGAGUGAUAGUAAAACUUCCUAAUUUAACCAAGUAUAGCUUGGAACAAGGAGGAAGUAAUCCUUCUUUUGUGCACAUAGAUUGGUUGUAAUCGAUCAACUUGAAGAAGCUUGCUCUAUAAAGUGAUGUUCAAACUCAAGAGAAGUUUGGAAUUUGGUUUGCUAUUCUAUCUCUUUUAUUUACUAUACUGCAAUAUAAAUUAUUCAUCUCUUCUACUCACGAGCAUUUGUGCUUUUUCAUUAUUUGUUCCAUUGUGUGCUCAUCUAGAAAAGAGGGUAAAUUUCAUAUUCAAUCAAAAAGUGUCUCAUAAUUUGGUUAGUUUUUAAUUACCUAAAUCACCCCUCUCUUAGGUUGUCUUCGAUUCUUAUACUAUAAUUUCUAUUCCACUGGCUCCAAAGAUCAAUACAGCAAUUGAAGUACGAGGCUGAGCAAGAAAGAACAAAAUGUCUCCGUCUUCUAACCUAUGAGCUAUAACAAAGUCACUCCAUCUUCGAUGAAAGCCAUCUUUUAUGAUUCCAAUAUUGUAACUUUUGGUUCCACUUGUUAGAACAAUAUCUAGAGUCCAAGGCUCAACUACAUUUAAUCAGUGUGCUCUAGAAUUUUCUACAAGCAAAAAGCAAGGCAUAAGAAUGUAAAGGAAUUAUGUUGCAAAAUAGAAGGAUUUGUCUUAAAAUAUAUAUAUGUAUAUACCGUGCUAUAUCUAAAUCUUUGAGUAUAAACUUAGAGCGCAUUUAGCACCAUUAGAUCAUGCCUAAUGAAUUGAUUGAUGGAUGAUGCAACAAAUCCUAAACUCACAUCUAUAGCUAUACCAUCUGUAGCACAGCAACAGGUGUGUUAGUAAAGUAUAUCAAGCGACAAAAAAAAAUUUAUUCAUUGUGAAAUGGAAAUUUAUGCUCCUUCUAAGAUCAGUGGUGUGUAUGGGAGCAUUGGCAAGUGCAAUGUUCAUCAUGUCCACAUUAGAUUGUGAGUAGCAGAGAAAGCAAAAACUUCGUAGAUGAAGUUCCCUCUAUUUCAAGAAAAAAAAAAUCAUAUUGCCUGGAGAGAUGUAGUUAUCACUGCAGAAAUUGUUCCAUUGUUUUUCAAAACAAGAAUUCAGAAUUUUUAUUUCCAAUGAGCCAAACCAUGAUAAAUUGUCCAUCUUCAAAACAAUUAGCAGCUACUAUUUCAUCAGGGAUCGCUUGAAAUGAGAUAGACAGGUUAGGUAUGUAUUAAGGGAAAAAGUGAGUAUCAAUUUAACAGAUGACUUAUUUUCUGGUGCUUGUGUAGAACAAAACAUAACACCACGGUUGUCCACUAUCCAUGAAACCAAUCUCUUCAUUUUCUGUUCAAGAGAACAAAAGAAAUGCAAUUAUAUGUGUAGCUCAUUGAGUAGUCCACAUUCUAUAAUGAUGCAAAAAAUGUAUAAAAAGCCACUUGUUUCUACGAAUGCCAUUGAGGUGAUAUAUGUAUUAUUCUAUAGCCACUGCUCAAUCAAUGCAAAUGAAAAUAGUGAGGGUUCACCCAUAUAUUUUAGAACCAUUGGACAUGCUUCAAGGAAAGACCUCUUCACAUAAUAAGUUGUCGCUCCAUGAACCUUGUUUACAGCAGUUGCUGCAAGAAUCUUUUCAUGGUCAAAGGUGCAUAGAUAAAAUUUAAUAUUGUUUCCCUUCUCAACUGCCUCCUAUUUCUAAAAGGGUCUCUUGGUUUAACCAUAGGUGGUUAAUAUCAAGAGUAUUUUAGUUCUAUAAUUUCAGCAUAUCUCAAAGCCGAUCACUAAAGCAAGGAGCAAAAACAAGGGAAAGUUUGCUGUGCUACCAAAGGAAGAAGAUGUUGAAUGUAUUUUAAAGUGAGAAUGAGCAUAGCAUGUUUAAAUAAGAAGUCAAUAUACAAGGACAAGCAUUAAGUACAAGAGCAUUAUAAUUGGUUGAAAAAAUAUGAAACCUCCAAAUAGAGCAAAGCAGGAAAUACCUCACUCAAUACUUCCAAACAAAGCCACCAUACAUAUAAUUAUUUAUAAUUCACAAUACUUGGGAAACAAGCAAAUAUUUUGAAAAUUUUCCCAACAAGACUUGCAUUACUGUAACCACAAUGAUCUCAAUCAUUAUGUGUUACAUAGUUGACCCAACUAUUCUAUUUUAACAAAGACAGAUUGUUUUAAAUAUUCUUACGAAAAUGAUAGAACACAAGUGGCAUGUUAGCCUUAAAAAUUUAUUGAAAAAAUACAAUAAUUUGACCUUUACUUGAAUGUCCAAUCACCAAAACUCAAAUACGAUACUGGAAAUCCUAAAAGCUUAAGCCCAAAUUAUAGAUCAAGGCCUUUACUCCAUAUCAGCCAAGUAAUAAUCAUAUAAUACCAUCCAACUAAAUAAAAAAUUAUGCUCACAUAAGCUUUCAAGAGCUGUACAUAUUGAGAAGUAAAUCUGUCAAGGAUUUUUAGAUAAAAUAGAACUUAAUCUGUCAAGGAUCAUCUCCAGCUAUUGUCUCACAAGUACAUCAUAACCAGAAGGAAAAGCAACUCAUCUACAUUUUUUCUUAGAAACCUCCAUUGUUUCAGAAGUGCAAGUGUAAACAGGCUCAUCCCUAGCCAUUAUCUCACAACCACAUCAGGACUAGAAGGAAAAGUAAAGGAAAUGGCCAAUGGAAAAUUCGAAAAAAAGCUACAAUUCUCAGAAAGAUUCAACCAUGCUCAAGUAAUACUAACAUAAUACCAUCCAAGUAAAUAAAAAAAAUUUUGGCUCACAGAAGCUUCCAAAAGCUAUACACAUUGACAGACCCACAACAUGAAAGACCCAGACCAGAAUAAUGCCAAGCAAAGACAUAGCCACAACCUAAAAAGGCAAGUCCAAAUAUAAGUAAAUAUGAAAAGUUUCUGCUUACAAAGGCUGCCAAAAUCUAUGCACAUUAACAAAAUUAUAACACAAAAGACCUACGAGAAUAAACCAAUGAAAAACAAAAUCACAACCAGAAAAGAUGACAAGAGGAUAGAAAUGCAAAAUACAAAGAUAAAUGAGCAAAGAAUAGAAAAAUAUCCAACAAACAUCAAACCAAUGGACAGAACAAUAGUGAAAAUGGUAAAAAGAAACAUAACCAAAUAUCCAUGAGCAAACGAAAAAUAGAAAAAAUAUAAUUUACCUAACGGGAGAAAUUACAAUCAGAGCUCGCAAGUAAAGGAUCUGUAGAAAAGAGGAGCUUGUCAAAAUGCCAAAAAGAAAAUGAAGGAAAUAGAGGAAAAUACUAAAAUAACUGAUGAGAAAAAGAAGGAGAUGAUGGGGGGAAUGUAGACAGAGCAAUAACAAAAAAUGGUACCCAAGAGCAAAGAAAAACAAAAAUAUUACAAAUUACCUGACAAAAGAAACUAUUAUUAGAGCUCGCAAGUAAAGGAUUUGCAGAAAAGAGGAGCUUGUUACAAUUUUUUUUUUUUAAAAGGACAAGGGAACCAAAGGAAAUAUUGAAAUACCUGAUAAGAGAAAAGAGAUGGAAAUGCAAGACACGGAGGUAAGCGAAGAAAACAGAAGACGAUGGAAAUGUAGAACACAGCAACAAACCUCCAAGAGCAGGACACACCUAAGCUUCACAAAGGCAGAGCAAUAACCACAUAGAAUCUGCGAGACAAAGAUGAAGUGAAAGGCAAAGAAGCUGAAAAGUGCCUGACGAGAGAAGCCACAAACAAAAUUCUCAAGACAAAGAUGAAGCGUGAAAACGGAGAUGAGAAAACAGAUGAGAAACUCUAGGAAAAAAGGGCACAACCAAUUUGUCUUGGAAUUCAGACCACAUUGGAAGAGACAGCCAUGAUAAAAUGCGCCAAUUACCAUUCUGAAGAAAGCUUUCCUGGUAGCUCCAGGCAAUGCAGCGGUGAGAGCCAAGAAGGAAAGGAACUCGUACGGUCAUCUGUUCCAAAGCAGAAAACCCAUGGUCGACCCAAUUACCCGAACCAUUCCAAUGGAGCAUCUAGAAGUGCAAACUUACACAACUCACAUGCUCGGCACAUGACAACGACGAAACCCCUUGGUGCAUUGUAUGUUAUGUUGAUAAGAAAAAAUGCACCUAUAUGAUUCAUCUUCAUAUCUUGCUGUCUUGUUUAAGUUUGCAUUACUGUUCAUGCAUCCGAUGUAUGUUCUUCCAUUUUUUUUCUUCCAUGUGUAUGUCAAACCUAUGGUACUCAUGCACUUAAUUGUUUUUUCAAAAUCUUAAGAGUAACAAGUUUAUUCUACUGAUUUCAUGAACUUGCAAAACACAAAAAAUUUAUAAAUGCAGGGAAAUGAUCAUAAAGUUCAUAAAACACAAUAAAGGAAAAAAGAGCAAGGAAAAAACACAAAAUAAAUGCAAAAAAAAAGUGGAAAAAAGUACAAGGGCAAGAAUCAUAAAAAGAAUGGGUAAGAAAGAAAGAUGCAGCACUUGCACUUGCACGAUAAGCCUUUAAAUCUUUGUUCACUACAAUGAAAAUCUCAAGCAAUGAUCAAUUACAUUAUUGUUAUCCUCUAGGCCAUUAUAUCAAGCUAGCUUACAUAAUGUACUUUGCCAAAUCAUUAGUCUCCUAUUGGGAGUCGAGCAUUUAAAAACUAAGAUGAGUUUUGCUCUACUCAUCAAAAAAAGAUGAGGAAAACAGCUUUUUGCCACAUUUGUGGUUUUAGAGCUUAUUGCACUACGUGCAUCUGGUGAUUUCAUUUGAUGCUAAAACUAUAUCGGUAUUUCCUUUUGAAUUUAAUGUAUCACAUCUUGCAAAAAAGGAGGCACAGUAUUAAGCGCAAUAAGGGGACAGGUGACCAUUUCAGCUGCAUGUCUUCUGAAUUUGCAGCCCAACUCUUCAUUGACUAUGAUCGGAUUGAUGAGAUGCCACUCACUUGUGUGUCUAGUUUGAAUCUACUGCUAUUAAAUGAAAGACAUAAAACGAGCGAGUUGUGCAUGAUAUGCGUAGAAGCAUAACUGGUUCCAUGUAAUUUCUAAGUGCAUUUGAAGGUAGGAAGUUACACUACAGAUUUGUUGGCCUAUUAUUCUACAAAAUGGCUCAGUGAUCUAGAAUUAUAUCAUUGCAAAGAAUGAUUUGCUUGUUGAAGGCACUGACAAAAACAUCCAGCUUCUUGUUGAAGAUUAGAACAUCUGUGACAUCUAAGUUCCAGUUUGUUUUCUUUUCCCAUUUUUGGAAUGAGUUUAGUUUCUUAAGUCACCAAAUUUACAACAUUUUCAUGUUCUUGACAGUGGAUGCUAUUUGUCUAAAGUAAUUUUUCAUGUAUACUUAGCAUCGUUCACUAAAAUCGUGAUAUAGAACUUGACUUUUGACUUGAUAUUAUUUUCUGUUCUUCCUAGGCCUGUCUACUGCUUGUUGUUUUGUGUAGUCAUUAUUCAGAGUUUGAAGACUAUUGGACCUGUAGGCUUUAAAAAUCUUGUUCACAAUUUUCUUCAAAAAGUUGGCUGCAAGAAGCUUUAGAACCUGCAUUUCAAAGAGCUGGUCAGAGAAUGUAUCCUUAUUGAAAGACUGCAGUGGAUAAUUAUACUGAUUCAUUUUUUGCUAAAUAUCUUUUUAUGUUGAGCAUACCAUUUUUUGGUUGAACUUAACUUUCACUAUAAAGGGACAGAGAUUUGGAGAAUUGAAAACUUCCAACCAAUUCCUUUACGAAAAUCUGAUCAUCGUAAGUUCUACUUAGGUGAUUCAUACAUUGUCUUGCAGGUGCAUAUGGCUUCCAAUAUUUCUUCCUUUGUAUCUUAUUUUGGGCCUCAUUUUUAUGAAUUGAGUGUUUAUGACUGAAGGAAGAGCUUAAAUCUUUUUUAUCCUAUUUUAAGUUUGGAUACAAUGAACUGAUAAAAACUAAUAUCGAUCAUUGCAGUCCAGUUUAAUAUUGAUCAUGAGGAGGCUGUUGAAUAUGAUGAUAGAGAUGGUUGAAAUCUGACAUUGGUACUACGGUCUAUGCUUUAGUUUAGAAAUCUAGUACUCUUUUUUUUUGGAAGGAUAUGUAUUGGUCAUUACUGCUUGAACUUAUUAUGUGAGCUUUGGGACCCAACAUUUGUGGUUCACUUUUGUUUUGAUGAAUGUAUAGACGUUCAUGGCCAUAUAUAUGAAUUUGUGGUUUUAUUCUACGUUGAUUUUGUCUUUUGUCAAAUUGAAUAUUCUGCUAUAAUUUGUUGAAAAUGCUAUGACAAUGCUAUAUUCGUAAUGGUCAAUUUCAGCUCUUCAAGACAAAGCUCAGUGACAACCUUUGACAUGCAAUUUCACUAAGUGACGAUUAUUUCUGUCACUGAAUAAUAGGACUGAUUGUGACAAGCUCAGGUUGUCACUGUAAACUUCAAAUUUGUGACGACUUUUGCUACAUCUAUGAUAAAAAUAUAGGUGAAACAGUGACAAGAAAAGUCAUUACAAAAUAAUAUCCAUUAGUGACGACUUUGUCCUCGUCAUUGAAUAACAAGAUUCUAUGACGACUUUCAAAGAGUUGUCACAUGGACCCAUUUAUGACAUAGAAUCUGUGACAACCAUGUGACAAUCGAAAAAGCCGUCACUAUAUCUGUAUAAUGACGACUUUUUGGCUUUUAGUAAUGACUUUUUGUUGUCACAAAAGACCCAUUUUCUUGUAGUGUAGUAUGCACAGAAAAGGUGGCUAGAUCUAAUUUUUUUGGGGGGAGGGGUGUUUCGAUUCGCAUUAUUUGAAUUCAAAGGGGAUGUUACUGUGACGCCCCCACAUCUCCCUAAGUCGAACCAAAGGGUAUCCGCGGGACGCCUGCCCAACUCUAGUCAGGACUCAAGUAAUUCCGUUCAACUUAAAACCAAACCGAACAUUUCGAAGAGAGCAACAUGAAUACAAAUAAUGCAGAAGCGUUAAAACUUAUCAAGUCACUUAACAUGUAACCAGUACAUCGGGUAAUCAUAAUACAACUUAAAUCCUAAAUACACGUCAAGGCCCAAAUUUUACAUUUCAAUUCCAAAAGUACAACCCAAACCAGGGCAUAGCCAAAAUAUAGUAGAAAUCCUAAACAAAAGGACAACGAAGGGUUUCUCCAUACUUCCCCAAGAUUCGGUCAUGUUAAGGAAAACAAACUAAUAGGAUGAGCCAAUACUCAGUAAGGCCAAGAAAACACACAUGCAAACACAUAAUCCAAGUAGCGACAACAAUUACAUUGUAGGUAAGGCUAUCAAAUUCGAAUAAUUCACAUUUCGAAUAGGAAAAAUAAACAGAAACAAUUCAACGAUACUGUAGCUCUCAGGAGCUAAAUUCCACGUAGUCGAGUCAAAGUCUUGAUCACAUCUCACGUUGACACUUCGUCAACCACAUAAGUAUCAAAUCCGUAGAUACACCACUUUUCUUCGAAUCCCGUCACCGUUACACCCCCUUACCGGGCCCGCUCAUAAAAGUUUUUGAUAAUACUCGAGUAUAUCAUGGCAAUACUGCACGAGUAAUGCCGAACAAAAUCUCUCAAAUAGAUCAUGCUCUACAAAUAUCUCAUGGUUUGCUAAGCUUAUCGACCAAGCCCAUGCUGGCUCGAUUCGCAAAGUUAGCCAACGAGUUUGGGCGUCCCCCGAAUACGAAUACGAAUAUAAGUCGAUGAACAACGCUCAAAUCGACAAUUCCAAAUAGGAAUCACAAAUACGGAUCACGUAUACGAAUCACAAAUACAAAUCACAUCCACAUUACCAUGUACAAGUCGGAUACGAAUUCACAUAGCAAAAUUCGAAUAUAAUUUCAUUUGAAAGAGAACGAAUGCGAUAAAGUACACCCUCGUCUCAAAAUUUCAAAUUUACAUAACGGAUAAGAAACAGAUAACCACUUAACAACAAGUUCAUGCACUUGACACUCACCAAUCGAAAUAAGGGAGUAAGUGCAUAAACGAGCCUUUAGGUGUUCCCCUCGAGAUCCUCUUGAAGGUCUCCUAGAGCACCUGAGUAAAUAGUAAUUGUCUAUUACACACUAUCGCUUAAAACCCCUAAUUAUCGAGGAAGAUUGCACACUUGUACAAUCUAAGAAAAUUUCACGAAAAUGAGCCUUGAUUACUCGUAAAUCGAGGCUAAAAAAAUGGUGUUUUAAAACACAAGCGAAAUCUGAUUUUCAUCUUUGAAAUCAAGUGUAAAACGGUUUAGCAAUAUCGAAGGAAAAUAGAGAGUUUGCAACUCUUAAUUUCCUUUAAGUUCGAAAAUUUCAGAUUUGUCACCCAUACUUUGGAAAAUCGUAUCUCAUUCUCUACAAGUCCAAAAUUGGAAAACAUUAUACCGUUGGAAACCUCUUGGAAAUUACUAAAAGUUCUUAGAAUACACUUUUCCAUGAAUCUAAGUAAAAAGCACUCAAAAAUGAGCUUGAAAUCACUGUUCCAGAAUGUUCAGGAUUGAGCUGGGGUUGGUUUUUCGCUAACUUUGGAAAUUUGGCAGAAUUCACUCGUUGUAAAAUAGCCCUUGAAAUUUAUAACUCAAUUAGAGGUGCAAGUAAGGUUUAGGGAAGAACAAGAGGAUUGAGAAUUGGAGUUUCGAGCACCGAGAUACGGUAGCUCGAAGUUGGGAAAAUUCAAGUCUGGUGAACAAUUUCCAGAUUUGAGUUUCCAAAAAUUGGAACCUUAGCUAAGUGUCAAAACGAACUUGGAUUGGUAUAAAAUUUUGCAGUAUGUUACUCCUAUAUGAAAGGUACCGCUCUAUCAAAUUUCAGGGAAAAAUACCUUCGGAAAGGUAGUUAAUUAAUCAUCCAAAGUUCAGGAAAAUUUCUAAAGCAACCUGUCUUUUGACUUCAUUUCCCAAUUUAAAUCGUUUAAUCAAGAAAGCUAUCCAACCAUGGUUCAUUUGUGAAAUAAAGGUCAAAGAUACAUCCAUGAUACCUUUGGUAAGUGUUUAGCAUCAAGAACUUCAAUUAAUAAGAUCACUCCCAGGUUUUGUCCCAAAUCGGUCCAAGUAUUUCGGUUUUCCCAAAACAGGGCAGUUCUCUUGUUUUGGUCACAACUCAGUCAAUUUAACUCAAAAUGGAGCAUGGUUUAUGUCGUUGAAAAAUAAAUUCAUAGGGCUAUAAUAUCACAGAAGAAAUCAUUUCAAAAUUUGGCACCCAAAUAGUUCAAAAUCGAGCAUCAAUUUGCUGUCUUAUCACUUCAUUCCAGUUGAACAGAGCAACAAGACAGCGAUCUUAAAACGAUUGGUUCGGCUCACUCACAAAGAAUCAGAACAUGCAUUUUAUCUCAAAUUAACGCCUGGAAUGUCUAGUUUCCAACGCCACCAACGGCACAUGAUUUUGACAUCCGAGGACGGAGUUAUGGCCGAAACACCACCGCUGGUUAGAGCCAUACGUGAACAGUUUCCAGAUUUGCUAGUUUCACAAAAAAAAAUUCAUCUGCCCAACCAAACCUCAUUAUUUUUCAAUGAAAUUUUUCACACAUCUAAUACGUCUAAAAUAACGGUCUUAAGUCCCUUAAUUGAUCGCGCGCGUAAAACGCGUAUUUCCAAUUUUGCGCGAUAACGCUUAACUUUCAAAAAAAUUUCUUAUAACGAUUGUAUUACUAACUAAUACUUGAGCACUUAAACAUAAAAAUACCUAAUUUCAGACUAAUGUACAUGUCUCUAAUUUUUUCCAAACUUAUUGUAUCCUCGAUUCAAUUAUUUAUUCCAAUCGCAUAUUCACUAUUUUUACUUAACGAGUCUUCGGAAAUUAAAUUUUGAAACAAGUCACUUUAAAAAUAUAACUAAGCCAUAGAUCCUUUUAAUUAGGUCUAAAAAGGUUAGAAAAUAAUAUUUGGGGCGAUUGGCCAAAUAAAUAAUUAAAUGAGCUAGAAUUUGGAGUUUAAAAUAGGUAAAUUUUUGUGAGUCUUUACAUGAGUCGAGUAUUAAUUCCUUAAUGAACCUUUCUUAAUCUACCACUGAUCAUUGUUAACUCUCUAAUAUCAAUACACUCUCGAUUCAAAUAUAGUCUCGAAAAACAUGCACUCGUUGUUCCAAACUAAACGAGUUUUCGAAAAGUGAAUUUUUCUUACAAAACGCUUUAAAAAAUAUAAAUGAGGCGUCGUUCCAUAUAAAUGGAUUUUAAAUGAUCGAAAUAAAUAAUUUGGAGAAAAAUGAGUAAAUAAAUAAUUAAACAAACUACCAAUAUUCGAUAAAAUAAAAAAAAAUUUCGAGUCCUCACAUCCUCCCCUCUUUAAAAGAAUUUCGUCCUCGAAAUUCACACUUAGGAUAAUAGUCAUACCCUUAAUAGUCAUGCCUUUCAAAUUAAUCACUAACUUACACCCUCCGAUCCAUAUCUCACAAUUUCUAUUUACCCAAUUAGUAGUCAAACUUUAAUUCUAUCUUAUGAAUUUAGGGUUUUACAAAAAGUGUGUACGGUACUAGGUCACUGAGAACCUUAGAUAGACAAAUAAAAGGAAGAAUCAUAUCUCUAAUGACUUUAGUAGAAUCGGAAACAUGUUGAUAAUCUAAUGCAUAAACCCUAGCUAGUGCAUUAGAUCGACUUCCUCCAAUACUAGGCUGCUUAACGGCUGACUUUUCAGGCCUUUGGGUACUACCUCCUUCUUUUGGUACGGUCGGGCAUUUUGAUAUCUGGUGCUCGGUCCUACCACAAUACAAGCACUUCCCUUGUUUCCUAAAACAAUCUUUCUCCGUAUGGUUGAGCUUGCCACAAUAACCACAAACGACUUGGGGAGCCACAGAUUGACCACUUGGAGGUGUCCCUCUCGAUUGACCUCGUCCAUUGCGAUCUACUCUUGAUUGAGUCCCUUUUUGCAUGUUAGAUAUCUCCACUCUACCCAUCCCUUUUCCCUUUUUAAAAGGUGGGGCACUCUUAUCUGCCUGUCCCGAAUGGUUACUAGAAGUGCCCCUCUUCUUAGCAUGAAAGUCUCUAACUUGCAGCCUUGCACUCUCGACUCUCUGUGCUUUUUCUAAGACUUCAGUGAACGUAGAGAUUUGGGUUGCAGCCAAACCCUCCUGGAUUUCUACAUUAAGUCCCUGCACGAACCGUCUAAUCCUCCUCCGUUCAUUAAUCACCAAUUCAGGAGCGUACUUAGAAAACUUAGUGAACUUUCCCUCGUACUCUGCUACACUAAGGGUUCCUUGUUUCAACUUGAUGAAUUCAUCCUCCCUUUUCUCUUGGAUUAAGGGCGGAAGAAAUUUCUCAUUAAAUUCCCUCAUGAAAUUCUCCCAAGUCCAAGGGGUUUGAGCUCUUUCCCAUUUUCCCCUUAUCAGGUCCCACCAAGCGCGUGCCACUCCCUCAAAUUGGAAUGCAGCAAAAUUCACUCGCCUAUCCUCGGUAUAGUCUAAGGCGGCGAAUAUAUUGGUCAUUCUCUCUAACCAGUUUUCAGCUGCCUCGGGGUCGGGCUCUCCAGUGAACUUAGGCGGGUUGAAUUUAAGAAACCUCUCCAAGGCUCUAUCUUCUCCUCUAUCCUGUCCCCCAAGUUGGUUAAGCGGUCCUGGACCCUGUCUUUCAGCUAAGCGUUUUAGGAUAUCAGUCAUCCUAUUGAUGGCAGUAGCCAUUUGGUUAAACUCUAUAUUCUCUUGUCCUUGGGUCGGUCCAGUUGCCGAUCCUUGUUCAUUCCCUUGAGGUUGGGUCUGUCUAGUCCCUCGCCCAUGGCCUCGACCACUCUUUAGUCCUUCCAUUAUCUUAAGGGUGCCUAAUGCAGGAAAUAAAAGCGAUCACGCAAGAAAUUUCUUAAAACAAGAGCCGAUCUAGAAAACAUCAGAAAUAACAAUAAUUAACAUGUAUUUAUGCUUUUAAAAUUCAUAAAAUUAGCAAGUCGGGGGGGUAUGACAAAAAAAAACAGCACACAGGUGCCACAAAAAUACUUUUAGUCACAUACGACUAAAGUAAAGUAAAGUGCCUCAAAAGUAGGCCAUACAGUCAUACAAAAAUGCAAUGGCCUCAGCACUAGCAUCACCCCAGCUAAAUCUAACUACAUCAGUCAAAAGGGGCUAAUUUUUUUUUUUCGUUCAUUUCCAACUCAUAUCAAACUCUUGGAUCCUAUGGAGUUACAUAGGACCAUCCAUCAAUCUUUCUCUAUCUCUCUCUCUCUUAGGCUCAUCUACAUUCCACUUCUCUCUAGUCAAUAUUGUCCCACACUCAGUUAAAAUAUUCUGCGCCAAAUGUCUCAUUUCUCUUACUACAUGAACUGGAAAUCCAUUGACCUCUUGCACUUGCUCUCACGAAACAUUAGUCCAUUCUUGUUCCUCGCAAAUGGAGAUCUUAAGUCUUUAACGUUACCCUCAACUCCUAAGUACUCGGGUACAAGAAUCCGAAAUAAAAUAAUUCACAUCUCGAGCUGGCCAGUCCCAAGAGUAAAUCACCAUAUUUGAGAUUCGUACCCAACAUACAUAUUUGGUCUUUCCCAAGUAUUACGAUAAAAGAUUUAUACCUAUCACAUUCAUGAUUCACAGCUUACACUCUAAAAGAGUACUUAAGCCUUUAGUCAUUCAUAUGAUAAGGACCAUAACACCAUUUGACCCAAUCUCACCCUUCGCAGAUACCACGCGAAGCGGCUCUGAUUUUUUUUUUUCCUACAAGUGGCCACUUAACUUUCAAACCAAUCCCACAGUCCGGCAUCCUAAAUUUCAACCCUAAGAUACACUACAAAGAUCUGAAACCUAAACUCUGAUACCAAAUGUGACGCCCCACAUCUCCUUAAGGCGAACCAAAGGGUAUCCGCGGGACGCCUGCCCAACUCUCGCCAGGACUCAAGCAAUUCCAUUCAACUUAAAAUCAAACCGAACAUUUCGAAGAGAGCAACAUGAAUACAAAUAAUGCAGAAGCGUUAAAACUUAUCAAGUCACUUAACAUGUAACCAGUACAUCGGGUAAUCAUAAUACAACUUAAAUCCUAAAUACACGUCAGGGUCCAAAUUUUACAUUUCAAUUCCAAAAGUAUAACCCAAAUCAGGGCAUAGCCAAAAUAUAGUAGAAAUCCUACACAAAAGGACAACGAAGGGUUUCUCCAUACUUCCCCAAGAUUCGGUCCUGUUAAGGAAAACAAACUAAUAGGAUGAGCCAAUACUCAGUGAGGCCAAGAAAACACACAUGCAAACACAUAAUCCAAGUAGCAACAACAAUUACAUUGUAGGUAAGGCUAUCAAAUUCGAAUAAUUCACAUUUCGAAUAGAAAAAAUAAACAGAAACAAUUCAAGGAUACUGUAGCUCUCAGGAGUUAAAUUCCACGUAGUCGAGUCAAAGUCUUGAUCACAUCUCACGUUGACACUUCGUCAACCACAUAAGUAUCAAAUCCGUAGAUGCACCACUUUUCUUCGAAUCCCGUCACCGUUACACCCCCUUAUCGGGCCCGCUCAUCAAAGUUUUUGAUAAUACUCGAGUAUAUCAUGGCAAUACUGCACGAGUAAUGACGAACAAGAUCUCUCCAAUUGAUCAUGCUCUACAAAUAUCUCAUGGUUUGCUAAGCAAAUCGACCAAGCCCAUGCUGGCUCGAUUCGCAAAGUUAGCCAACGAGUUUGGGCGUCCCCCAAAUACGAAUACGAAUACGAAUACGAAUAUAAGUCGAUGAGCAACGCUCAAAUCGACAAUUCCAAAUAGGAAUCACAAAUACGGAUCACGUAUACGAAUCACAAAUACAAAUCACAUCCACAUUACCAUGUACAAGUCGGAUACGAAUUCACAUAGCAAAAUUCGAAUAUAAUUUCAUUUGAAAGAGAAUGAGAGCGAUAAAGUACACCCACGUCUCAAAAUUUCAAAUUUACAUAACGGAUAAGAAACAGAUAACCACUUAACAACAAGUUCAUGCACUUGACACUCACCAAUCGAAAUAAGGGAGUAAGUGCGUAAACGAGCCUUUAGGUGUUCCCCUCGAGAUCCUCUUGAAGGUCUCCUAGAGCACCUGAAUAAAUAGUAAUUGUCUAUUACACACUAUCGCUUAAAACCCCUAAUUAUCGAGGAAGAUUGCACACUUGUACAAUCUAAGAAAAUUUCACGAAAAUGAGCCUUGAUUACUCGUAAAUCGAGGCUAAAAAAAUGGGGUUUUAAAACACAAGAGAAAUCUGAUUUUCAUCUUUGAAAUCAAGUGUAAAACGGUUUAGCAAUAUCGAAGGAAAAUAGAGAGUUCGCAACUCUCAAUUUCCUUUAAGUUCGGAAAUUUCAGAUUUGUCACCCAUACUUUGACAAAUCGUAUCUCAUUCUCUACAAGUCCAAAAUUGGAAAAAUUUAUACCGUUGGAAACCUCUUGGAAAUUACUAAAAGUUCUUAGAAGACACUUUUCCUUGAAUCUAAGUGGAAAGUACUCAAAAAUGAGCUUGAAAUCACUGUUCCAGAAUGUUCAGGAUUGAGCUGGGGUUGGUUUUUCGCUAACUUUGAAAAUUUGGCAGAAUUCACUCGUUGCAAACUAACCCUUGAAAUUUAUAAAUCAAUUAGAGGUGCAAGUAAGGUUUAGGGAAAAACAAGCGGAUUGAGAAUUGGAGUUUCGAGCACCGAGAUACGGUAGCUCGAAGUUGGGAAAAUUCAAGUCUGGUGAACAAUUUCCAGAUUUGAGUUUCCAAAAAUUGGAACCUUAGCUAAGUGUCAAAACGAACUUGGAUUGGUAUAACAUUUUGCAGUAUGUUACUCCUAUAUGAAAGGUACCGCUCUAUCAAAUUUCAGGGAAAAAUACCUUCGGAAAGGGAGUUAAUUAAUCAUCCAAAGUUCAGGAAAAUUUCUAAAGCAACCUGUCUUUUGACUUCAUUUCCCAAUUUAAAUCGUUUAAUCAAGAAAGCUAUCCAACCAUGGUUCAUUUGUGAAAUAAAGAUCUAAGAUACAUCCAUGAUACCUUUGGUAAGUGUUUAGCAUCACGAACUUCAAUUAAUAAGAUCACUCCCAGGUUUUGUCCCAAAUCAGUCCAAGUAUUUCGGUUUUUCCAAAACAGGGCAGUCCUCUUGUUUUGGUCACAACUCAGUCAAUUUAACUCAGAAUGGGGCAUGGUUUAUGUUGUUGAAAACUAAAUUCAUAGGGCUAUAAUAUCACAGAAGAAAUCAUUCCAAAAUUUGGCACCCAACUAGUUCAAAAUCGAGCAUCAAUUUGCUGCCUUAUCACUUCAUUCCAGUUGAAAAGAGCAACAGGACAGCGAUCUUAAAACGUUUGGUUCGGCUCACUCACAAAGAAUCAGAACAUGCAUUUUAUCUCAAAUUAACGCCUGGAAUGUCUAGUUUCCAACGCCACCAACGGCACAUGAUUUUGACAUCCGAGGUCGGAGUUAUGGCCGAAACACCACAGCUGGUCAGAGCCAUACGUGAACAGUUUCCAGAUUUGCUAGUUUCACAAAAAAAAAUUCAUCUGCCCAACCAAACCUCAUUAUUUUUCAAUGAAAUUUUUCACACAUCUAAUACGUCAUAUAAACAUCAGAUUCAACCCAUUAGAUCAUUAAAAAUUGGCCUUAAAAUGGCCGAACAAGGCAACGGCAAAAUCGGAAACUUUUGCUUCUUGCACCCAAUGAAAUUUCUAUCAAUUACACACCAUUAAUCCAUCAUUUUAACCACUAAACCAACAAUAUAUCCACCAUCAAUCAUCAAAUCAGCAACAACCCAAGAGUGGGAGUUCAUAGAGCCCACCAUCAAAAUUUUCCAACAAUACAAGCUACCCAUGUGAAGAUUCAAGCUCAUAUGUGUAAUUUAACCUCCAUAGGAAAAGUUUAGAGUGUUGGAUCAUUACCUGCUUUGGUGGUUGUUCAAGUCUGAAUUUUCGGCCCUUUGAAGCCUGAAGAAAACCGUGGAAAUGAAGCUCUUCUCCUUGCCUAAGUGAAUCUCCAAGUGGUUUGUAAGUUGGAUGCAAAUUUUGAGAUGAAAUGGAGGAAGAUUGGUGCAAGAAUGAAGAAGCUUUUCUUCCUUUCUUUCCUUUGCUGUUUGGUCGGCUGUUUUGGUGUGAAAAUGGGAGUUCUAGCCGUGCCCUUAAGGUGAGAAAAGAAGGGUUUUGAUCUGGUGUGAUGGGUCCACUAAAAGCUUAAGAAUGUGUGGACAAAAUUGCUCCAAAAGUCAACUAAGGAUAGUGCGCGAACGCGCGCCUUUCGUGCUCGUUUCCUCUCGGGUUUGUUUCACUUGUGCACUAAACCUCUAAUGCACUUCCAUUCAUACUAUUAUUAUUCACUUUUAAUAGUCUAAAAUAACGGUCUUAAGUCCCUUAAUUGAUCGCGCGCGUAAAACGCGUAUUUCCAAUUUUGCGCGAUAACGUUUAACUUUCAAAAAAAAUUCUUAUAACGAUUGUAUUACUAAUUAAUACUUGAGCAUUUAAACAUAAAAAUACCUAAUUUGAGACUAAUGUACAUGUCUCUAAUUUUUUCCAAACUUAUUAUAUCCUCGAUUCAAUUAUUUAUUCCAAUCGCAUAUUCACUAUUUUUACUUAACGAGUCUUCAGAAAUUAAAUUUUGAAACAAGUCAUUUUAAAAAUAUAACUAAGCUAUAGAUCCUUUUAAUUAGGUCUAAAAAGGUUAGAAAAUAAUAUUUGGGGCGAUUGGCCAAAUAAAUAAUUAAAUGAGUUAGAAUUUGGAGUUUAAAAUCGGUAAAUUUUUGUGAGUCUUUACAUGAGUCGAGUAUUAAUUCCUUAAUGAACCUUUCUUAAUCUACCAUUGAUCAUUGUUAACUCUCUAAUAUCAAUACACUCUCGAUUCAAAUAUAGUCUCGAAAAACAUGCACUCGUUAUUCCAAACUAAACGAGUUUUCAAAAAAUGAAUUUUUCUUACAAAACGCUUUAAAAAAUAUAAAUGAGGCGUCGUUCCAUAUAAAUGGAUUUUAAAUGAUCGAAAUAAAUAAUUUGGAGAAAAAUGAGUAAAUAAAUAUUUAAACAAACUACCAAUAUUCGAUAAAAUAAAAUAAAAAUUUCGAGUCCUCACAUCCUCCCCUCCUUAAAAGAAUUUCGUCCUCGAAAUUCACACUUAGGAUAAUAGUCAUACCCCUUAAUAGUCAUGCCUUUCAAAUUAAUCACUAACUUACACCCUCCGAUCCAUAUCUCACAAUUUCUAUUUACCCAAUUAGUAGUCAAACUUUGAUUCCAUCUUAUGAAUUUAGGGUUUUGCAAAAAGUGUGUACGGUACUAGGUCACUGAGAACCUUAGAUAGACAAAUAAAAGGAAGAAUCAUACCUCUAAUGACUUUAGUAGAAUCGGAAACAUGUUGAUAAUCUAAUGCAUAAACCCUAGCUGGUGCAUUAGAUCGACUUCCUCCAACACGAGGCUGCUUAGCGGCUGACUUUUCAGGCCUUUGGGUACUACCUCCUUCUUUUGGCACGGUCGGGCAUUUUGAUAUCUGGUGCUCGGUCCCACCACAAUACAAGCACUUCCCUUGUUUCCUAAAACAAUCAUUCUCCGUAUGGUUGAGCUUGCCACAAUAACCACAAACGACUUGGGGAGCCACAGAUUGACCACUUGGGGGUGUCCCUCUCGAUUGACCUCGUCCAUUGCGAUCUACUCUUGAUUGAGUCCCUUUUUGCAUGUUAGAUAUCUCCACUCCACCCAUCCCUUUUCCCUUUUUAAAAGGUGGGGCACUCUUAUCUGCCUGUCCCGAAUGGUUACUAGAAGUGCCCCUCUUCUUAGCAUGAAAGUCUCUAACUUGCAGCCUUGCACUCUCGACUCUCUGUGCUUUUUCUAAGACUUCAGUGAACGUAGAGAUUUGGGUUGCAGCCAAACCCUCCUGGAUUUCUACAUUAAGUCCCUGCACGAACCGUCUAAUCCUCAUCCGUUCAUUAAUCACCAAUUCAGGAGCGUACUUAGAAAGCUUAGUGAACUUUCCCUCGUACUCCGCUACACUAAGGGUUCCUUGUUUCAACUUGAUGAAUUCAUCCUCCCUUUUCUCUUGGAUUAAGGGCGGAAGAAAUUUCUCAUUAAAUUCCCUCGUGAAAUUCUCCCAAGUCCAAGGGGUUUGAGCUCUUUCCCACUUUCCCCUUAUCAGGUCCCACCAAGCGCGUGCCACUCCCUCAAAUUGGAAUGCAGCAAAAUUCACUCGCCUAUCCUCGGUAUAGUCUAAGGCGGCGAAUAUAUUGGUCAUUCUCUCUAACCAGUUUUCAGCUGCCUCGGGGUCGGGCUCUCCAGUGAACUUAGGCGGGUUGAAUUUAAGAAACCUCUCCAAGGCUCUAUCUUCUCCUCUAUCCUGUCCCCCAAGUUGGUUAAGCGGUCCUGGACCCUGUCUUUCAGCUAAGCGUUUUAGGAUAUCAGUCAUCCUAUUGAUGGCAGUAGCCAUUUGGUUAACCUCUAUAUUCUCUUGUCCUUGGGUCGGUCCAGUUGCCGAUCCUUGUUCAUCCCCUUGAGGUUGGGUCUGUCUAGUCCCUCGCCCAUGGCCUCGACCACUCUUUAGUCCUUCCAUUAUCUUAAGGGUGCCUAAUGCAGGAAAUAAAAGCGAUCACGCAAGAAAUUUCUUAAAACAAGAGCCGAUCUAGAAAACAUCAGAGAUAACAAUAAUUAACAUGUAUUUAUGCUUUUAAAAUUCAUAAAAUUAGCAAGUCGGGGGGGUAUGACAAAAAAAAAACAGCACACAGGUGCCACAAAAAUAUUUUUAGUCACAUACGACUAAAGUAAAGUAAAGUGCCUCAAAAGUAGGCCAUACAGUCAUACAAAAAUGCAAUGGCCUCAGCACUAGCAUCACCCCAGCUAAAUCUAACUACAUCAGUCAAAAGGGGCUAAUUUUUUUUUUCGUUCAUUUCCAACUCAUAUCAAACUCUUGGAUCCUAUGGAGUUACAUAGGACCAUCCAUCAAUCUUUCUCUAUCUCUCUCUCUCUUAGGCUCAUCUACAUUCCACUUCUCUCUAGUCAAUAUUGUCCCACACUCAGUUAAAAUAUUCUGCGCCAGAUGUCUCAUUUCUCUUACUACAUGAAUUGGAAAUCCAUUGACCUCUUGCACUUGCUCUCACGAAACAUUAGUCCAUUCUUGUUCCUCGCAAAUGGAGAUCUUAAGUCUUUAACGUUACCCUCAACUCCUAAGUACUCGGGUACAAGAAUCCGAAAUAAAAUAAUUCACAUCUCGAGCUGGCCAGUCCCAAGAGUAAAUCACCAUAUUUGAGAUUCGUACCCAACAUACAUAUUUGGUCUUUCCCAAGUAUUACGAUAAAAGAUUUAUACCUAUCACAUUCAUGAUUCACAGCUUACACUCUAAAAGAGUACUUAAGCCUUUAGUCAUUCAUAUGAUAAGGACCAUAACACCAUUUGACCCAAUCUCACCCUUCGCAGAUACCACGCGAAGCGGCUCUGAUUUUUUUUUUUUCCUACAAGUGGCCACUUAACUUUCAAACCAAUCCCACAGUCCGGCAUCCUAAAUUUCAACCCUAAGAUACACUACAAAGAUCUGAAACCUAAGCUCUGAUACCAACUGUGACGCCCCACAUCUCCUUAAGGCGAACCAAAGGGUAUCCGCGGGACGCCUGCCCAACUCUCGCCAGGACUCAAGCAAUUCCAUUCAACUUAAAACCAAACCGAACAUUUCGAAGAGAGCAACAUGAAUACAAAUAAUGCAGAAGCGUUAAAACUUAUCAAGUCACUUAACAUGUAACCAGUACAUCGGGUAAUCAUAAUACAACUUAAAUCCUAAAUACACGUCAGGGCCCAAAUUUUACAUUUCAAUUCCAAAAGUACAACCCAAAUCAGGGCAUAGCCAAAAUAUAGUAGAAAUCCUAAACAAAAGGACAACGAAGGGUUUCUCCAUACUUCCCCAAGAUUCGAUCCUGUUAAGGAAAACAAACUAAUAGGAUGAGCCAAUACUCAGUGAGGCCAAGAAAACACACAUGCAAACACAUAAUCCAAGUAGCAACAACAAUUACAUUGUAGGUAAGGCUAUCAAGUUCGAAUAAUUCACAUUUCGAAUAGAAAAAAUAAACAGAAAUAAUUCAAGGAUACUGUAACUCUCAGGAGCUAAAUUUUACGUAGUCGAGUCAAAGUCUUGAUCACAUCUCACGUUGACACUUCGUCAACCACAUAAGUAUCAAAUCCGUAGAUACACCACUUUUCUUCGAAUCCCGUCACCGUUACACCCUCUUAUCGGGCCCGCUCAUCAAAGUUUUUGAUAAUACUCGAGUAUAUCAUGGCAAUACUGCACGAGUAAUGCCGAACAAGAUCUUUCCAAUAGAUCAUGCUCUACAAAUAUCUCAUGGUUUGCUAAACUUAUCGACCAAUCCCAUGCUGGCUCGAUUCGCAAAGUUAGCCAACGAGUUUGGGCGUCCCCCGAAUAUGAAUACGAAUACGAAUAUAAGUCGAUGAGCAACGCUCAAAUCGACCAUUCCAAAUAGGAAUCACAAAUACGAAUCACAAAUACGGAUUCCAAAUAGGAAUCACAAAUACAGAUCACGUAUACGAAUCACAAAUACAAAUCACAUCCACAUUACCAUGUACAAGUCGGAUACGAAUUCACAUAGCAAAAUUCGAAUAUAAUUUCAUUUGAAAGAGAAUGAGUGCGAUAAAGUACACUCUCGUCUCAAAAUUUCAAAUUUACAUAACGGAUAAGAAACAGAUAACCACUUAACAACAAAUUCAUGCACUUGACACUCACCAAUCGAAAUAAGGGAGUAAGUGCGUAAACGAGCCUUUAGGUGUUCCCCUCGAGAUCCUCUUGAAGGUCUCCUAGAGCACCUGAGUAAAUAGUAAUUGUCUAUUACACACUAUCGCUUAAAGCCCCUAAUUAUCGAGAAAGAUUGUACACUUGUACAAUCUAAGAAAAUUUCACGAAAAUGAGCCUUGAUUACUCGUAAAUCGAGGCUAAAAAAAUGGGGUUUUAAAACACAAGCGAAAUCUGAUUUUCAUCUUUGAAAUCAAGUGUAAAACGGUUUAGCAAUAUCAAAGGAAAAUAGAGAGUUCGCAACUCUCAAUUUCCUUUAAGUUCGGAAAUUUCAGAUUUGUCACCCAUACUUUGACAAAUCGUAUCUCAUUCUCUACAAGUCCAAAAUUGGAAACUUUAUACCGUUGGAAACCUCUUGGAAAUUACUAAAAGUUCUUAGAAGACACUUUUCCAUGAAUCUAAGUGGAAAGUACUCAAAAAUGAGCUUGAAAUCACUGUUCCAGAAUGUUCAGGAUUGAGUUGGGGUUGGUUUUUCGCUAACUUUGGAAAUUUGGCAGAAUUCACUCGUUGCAAACUAGCCCUUGAAAUUUAUAACUCAAUUAGAGGUGCAAGUAAGGUUUAGGGAAGAACAAGCGGAUUGAGAAUUGGAGUUUUGAGCACCGAGAUACGGUAGCUCGAAGUUGGAAAAAUUCAAGUCUGGUGAACAAUUUCCAGAUUUGAGUUUCCAAAAAUUGGAACCUUAGCUAAGUUUCAAAACGAACUUGGAUUGGUAUAAAAUUUUGCAGUAUGUUACUCCUAUAUGAAAGGUACCGCUCUAUCAAAUUUCAGGGAAAAAUACCUUCGGAAAGGUAGUUAAUUAAUCAUCCAAAGUUCAGGAAAAUUUCUAAAGCAACCUGUCUUUUGACUUCAUUUCCCAAUUUAAAUCGUUUAAUCAAGAAAGCUAUCCAACCAUGGUUCAUUUGUAAAAUAAAGGUCUAAGAUACAUCCAUGAUACCUUUGGUAAGUGUUUAGCAUCAAGAACUUCAAUUAAUAAGAUCACUCCCAGGUUUUGUCCCAAAUCAGUCCAAGUAUUUCGGUUUUUCCAAAACAGGGCAGUCCUCUUGUUUUGGUCACAACUCAGUCAAUUUAACUCAGAAUGGGGCAUGGUUUAUGUCGUUGAAAAAUAAAUUCAUAGGGCUAUAAUAUCACAGAAGAAAUCAUUUCAAAAUUUUGCACCCAACUAGUUCAAAAUCGAGCAUCAAUUUGCUGCCUUAUCACUUCAUUCCAGUUGAACAGAGCAACAUGACAGCGAUCUUAAAAUGUUUGGUUCGGCUCACUCACAAAGAAUCAGAACAUGCAUUUUAUCUCAAAUUAACGCCUGGAAUGUCUAGUUUCCAACGCCACCAACGGCACAUGAUUUUGACAUCCGAGGACGGAGUUAUGGCCGAAACACCACCGCUGGUCAGAGCCAUACGUGAACAGUUUCCAGAUUUGCUAGUUUCACAAAAAAAAAUUCAUUUGCCCAACCAAACCUCAUUAUUUUUCAAUGAAAAUUUUCACACAUCUAAUACGUCAUAUAAACAUCAGAUUCAACCCAUUAGAUCAUUAAAAAUUGGCCUUAAAAUGGCCGAACAAGGCAGGGGCAAAAUCGGAAACUUUUGCUUCUUGCACCCAAUGAAAUUUCUAUCAAUUACACACCAUUAAUCCAUCAUUUUAACCACUAAACCAACAAUAUAUCCACCAUCAAUCAUCAAAUCAGCAACAACCCAAGAGUGGGAGUUCAUAGAGCCCACCAUCAAAAUUUUCCAACAAUACAAGCUACCCAUGUGAAGAUUCAAGCUCAUAUGUGUAAUUUAACCUCCAUAGGACAAGUUUAGAGUGUUGGAUCAUUACCUGCUUUGGUGGUUGUUCAAGUCUGAAUUUUCGGCCCUUUGAAGCCUGAAGAAAACCGUGGAAAUGAAGCUCUUCUCCUUGCCUAAGUGAAUCUCCAAGUGGUUUGUAAGUUGGAUGCAAAUUUUGAGAUGAAAUGGAGGAAGAUUGGUGCAAGAAUGAAGAAGCUUUUCUUCCUUUCUUUCCUUUGCUGUUUGGUCGGCUGUUUUGGUGUGAAAAUGGGAGUUCUAGCCGUGCACAUAAGGUGAGAAAAGAAGGGUUUUGAUCUGGUGUGAUGGGUCCACUAAAAGCUUAAGAAUGUGUGGACAAAAUUGCUCCAAAAGUCAACUAAGGAUAGUGCGCGAACGCGCGCGUUUCGUGCUCGUUUCCUCUCGGGUUUGUUUCACUUGUGCACUAAACCUCUAAUGCACUUCCAUUCAUACUAUUAUUAUUCACUUUUAAUAGUCUAAAAUAACGGUCUUAAAUCCCUUAAUUGAUCGCGCGCGUAAAACGCGUAUUUCCAAUUUUGCGCGAUAACGUUUAACUUUUAAAAAAAAUUCUUAUAACGAUUGUAUUACUAACUAAUACUUGAGCACUUAAACAUAAAAAUACCUAAUUUGAGACUAAUGUACAUGUCUCUAAUUUUUUCCAAACUUAUUGUAUCCUCGAUUCAAUUAUUUAUUCCAAUCGCAUAUUCACUAUUUUUACUUAACGAGUCUUCAGAAAUUAAAUUUUGAAACAAGUCACUUUAAAAAUAUAACUAACCCAUAGAUCCUUUUAAUUAGGUCUAAAAAGGUUAGAAAAUAAUAUUUGGGGCGAUUGGCCAAAUAAAUAAUUAAAUGAGCUGGAAUUUGGAGUUUAAAAUAGGUAAAUUUUUGUGAGUCUUUACAUGAGUCGAGUAUUAAUUCCUUAAUGAACCUUUCUUAAUCUACCAUUGAUCAUUGUUAACUCUCUAAUAUCAAUACACUCUCGAUUCAAAUAUAGUCUCGAAAAACAUGCACUCGUUGUUCCAAACUAAACGAGUUUUCGAAAAGUGAAUUUUUCUUACAAAACGCUUUAAAAAAUAUAAAUGAGGCGUCGUUCCAUAUAAAUGGAUUUUAAAUGAUCGAAAUAAAUAAUUUGGAGAAAAAUGAGUAAAUAAAUAUUUAAACAAACUACCAAUAUUCGGUAAAAAAAAAAAAUUUCGAGUCCUCACAGUUACCCUAGACGUAUCUUCACCUUUAUCUCUUUGAGCGGCUUGGUGAGCAUCAAACAUAAAUCCCCUAAUAGGGGCAUCUAAUUAAUCUUCAGUCCCAUCCGGUUCAAGAUUUUCAAGUACCACAUCUUCUUCCCCCAUAGCUCGUACAUUAUUCUUGUUAGGAUCCAAUCACGAAAUAAUCAACUAUUGAGAUAUCAAGUACAUAACAAUUUAAUGACAAACAAACCACAAGCAUGAAAAAUAAAAGACACGUAAUAUUUAAUAUGGUUCGAUUUCACCAUUGAGCCUAUUCCACGGAGAGAAACUCGUUCUUUAUUAUGAGAGGAAAACCCUAUAUAAGAAUAUAACUUGAACCCAAAUCUAACCCCUGUAUACCAUCUCUCAUCUCCCAAGAACUCUCUUUCACCCCCAUGUAUAAGGCUAGCCCUUUUGUGUGCCCCUUAUGUGUCUUUGUGUAGUAUGCAAAUCCAUCCAUUUAUAGGAAAUAUUAUUUGACCAAAACUCAAAUAACAACAAGAAACCAAUUCUAAUUUCUAAAUUUACAUAGAAUAGGAAAUAACUUCUAAUCCUAAACAAAAUAGGAAAUUCUUUGACUACUAUUUCAAAUAACUAAAAUUAAUUAGAAAACUAGUUACUUUCACACAAAACAAGAACCCUACCUAAAAGAAAUUGAACCAAUUUUCUAACAAAUCUCCAUCUUGGUGAAAAUUUCUUUUAGCAACCAUUUGUCUUCAACUACCAAAUAAUAUGGUAUCGAAUUACGCAUUCGAAUCAAUACAGUCUUAAUACCAAAUUGAUUCAAUCGACAAAUGAAUAUAUGUAGUUACCUAGAAUCCAACCUCCAAUUGACUCGUAAGAAGGUGUCUCAAUUCACCGUCUCCCUAUGUAACAUUUUUUCUAAUCACUACUUGCAACCAGGGAUUCCCUUCUAUGAGCUCUAACGCUAAAUAUUGAGAAAGACUAACUCCCAACAAGGUUCGACUUUACAGGAGAAAGAAGCGUCGAUAAGGGAACCGCCUUCAAGGAAGAUUUCAGGAAGCAUUUAUUCAAUAAGAUUGAGUGGAGAUUUCUUGAUAAAUGAAGUGGUAAAGUCACCAUACUUUUUCCCAUUCUCAAGACUGUCUCGCCACGUAUGGUUUUCAAGACUCCACCUAAAAUGAAAAACUCGAAACUAUCAGAGUCUUCUGGUGAAUGGAAAUUAAAUCUCUUUUUUUCUUUACAGCACAUGCCACACUACCCAAAAAACAUAACCAAAAUCUAAAAUCCAUCGGGAUGAAGUAUCAACCGUUGGAAGUAUGGGAAAGUCUUCAUCGAUUCAUGUCCAAAAUCAACAUUGGACUCCAUCUUUUCCUUGACCAUUGAAUCAGCUACCAAUCCAUUUGAUCUCAAUAGUUACCCAGGAUCCAAUCAUGAACAACCAAACUCUUGAUCCAACCAUUCGGUUUGUUGGGAUCCAAGUGCUUGUGAGCAGCCCAAUUUUCACAACCAAACUCUGAUACCACUUGUUAGGAUCCAAUCACGAAAUAAUCAACUAUUGAGAUAUUAAGUACAUAAUAAUUUAAUGACAAACAAAUUACAAAUAUGGAAAAUAGACGACACACAAUAUUUGAUGUGGUUCGACCCCACCAUUGAGUCUACGUCCACGGCGAGAAACUCAUUCUUUAUUAUGAGAGGAAAAUCCUAUACAAAAAUAUAACUUGAACCCAAGCCCAACCUCUAUAUACCAUCUCUCAUCUCCCAAGAACCCUCUCUCACCUCCAUGCAUAAGGCUAGCCCUUUUGUGUGCCCCUUGUGUGUCUUUGUAUAGUAUGUCAAUCCACCUAUUUAUAGGGAACAUUAUUUGGCCAAAACCCAAAUAACAACAGGAAACCAAUUCUAAUUUCUAGACUUGCAUAGAAUAGAAAAUAACUUCUAAUCCUAAACAAAAUAGGAAAUUCUUUGACUACUAUUUCAAAUAACUAAAAUCAAUUAGAAAACUAGUUACUUUUACACAAAUCAAUACUCCUACCUAAAAGAAAUUAAGCCAAUUUUCUAACAAAUCUCCACCUUGACGAAAAUUUCUUUUAACAAUUUUUUGCCUUCAACUACCAAAUAAUAUGAUACCAAAUUACACACUCGAAUCAAUACAGUCUUGAUAUCAAAUUGAUUCAAUCGGCAAAUGAACAUGUGUAGUUACCCCGAAUCUAGCCUCCAGUUGACUUGUGAGAAGGUGUCUCAAUUCACCGUCUUCCUUUGUAGGAUUUUUUCUCACCACCACUUGCAACCGAGGAUCCCUUUCUGUGAGUUCUAACUCUUAACAUUGAGGCAACCAAGUAGUAAAAUCACCAUAUUUCUUCCUAUCCUCAAGACUGUCUCGCCACAUGUGGUUUCCAAGACUUCACAUAAAAUUAGAAACUUGUAAUUGUCUGAGUCUUUUGGCACAUGAAAAUUAAAUCUCUUUGUUUCUUUAAGACACGUGCCACACCAUCCAAAAAACAUAACCAAAAUCUAAAAUCCACCGGGAUGAAAUAUCAACCGUUGGAGGUGUGAAAAAGUCUCCACCGAUUCACGUCCAAAAUCAAUAUUGAAUUCCACCUUUUUCUUGACCCUUGAAUCACUUGCCUAGAUUCACCGUAUAUCUCCAUACUUUUCGACUUUCUAUCCUUCACCAUCAAAUUUUCCCAAGCCAUUGAAACAAGAAUACCAGUCAUUAAAUUGUUCAAUUAGUAACAGCUACCAAUCCACUUGAUCUCAAUAGUUAACCAAGAUCCAAUCUUGAACAACUAAACUCUUGAUCCAACCAUUCAGUUUGUUGGGAUCCAAAUGCUUGUGAGAAGUCCAAUUUUGCAAUCAAGCUCUGAUACCAUUUGUUAGGAUCCAAUCACGAAAUAAUCAACUAUUGAGAUAUCAAAUACAUAACAAUUUAAUGACCAAUAAGCCACAAACAUGGAAAAUAGACGGCACAUAAUAUUUAACGUGGUUCGACUCCACCAUUGAACCUACGUCCACGGAGAGAAACUAGUACUUCAAGUAACUAAAACCAAUUAGAAAACUAGUUACUUUCACAUAAAACAAGAACCCUACCUAAAAGAAAUUAAGCCAAUUUCCUAAUAAUUCUCUUGAAUACUGACAAUAUCCCUUUGCUUUCUUUUUGGUGCCAUCCUGCAAACACAAAUUAGGUUAGGGCAAAAUCUACCUACACUAAGCUACCCAAUCCUCAACUGGUAGCAACAGGUAUUUGAACACGAAAAUCAAAACUAAGUCAAUCCACACUAAGGUUGGCCACCUGAAGUGUAAAUCAACUAAUUCCAAUAUUCUAUCCAACAUACACACUACAUUACAUCAAACUUUCAAUAAAUAUUCAUUCUUAAGGUACUAUAAGUAAGAUUCACACCUAGGCUCUGAUACCAAAUAAAUGUCACGCCCCAUGUCUGGAAUUUAACACCGCCACGCCCUAGACAAUGCUAAAGAUGUAAGCCAACAAAUUUCCAAAAUAAAUAUAUUUACCUUUAUAUAAACUUUCUAAAUCCGCAAAUACAAGAUCAUCCAUAACAGCAAUUUUGCGUCUUUCAAAAUAAAAGCAAGAUCAAACCUUCUACAAUAUGUACAAUAUUCGAAUCCUAUUAUAAGGUAUCUAAUAUAGAAGUACAAAAGUUAUCCUCUAACCAAAAGUCAUCUCCAUCUCCAUUACCACUCCCAAGUUCUAUCAAGGUCCACUUCAAUGAACUCAUCAUUAACUGCAUAAUUAUAACAAAGGGGUGAGCGAAAUCUCACUCAAUAAGUAGCACAUGUAUCUCAUUAUUGGCCUGAGCAUGUUACAUACAUAAUAUAUAUUUCAAACGCCAUUAACUUACACAUAUAACUUUAUAAGAACAUGGUCAUUAUAAACAUUUCAAUGGCAUAUCAUACAUCACACACAUAAAGGAGCUCAAACCAUAAGACAACAAUUGACCCUGGAUAUCUAGUUAUUAACUUAAUCGGUUAACACGGUUCAUAGUGCUAACUACAAUACGAUUAGCCUAUUUCAUAUUGCUAAUGACAACACAGAUAGAUUGUUUCAUAUACCAACUACUUGUGAGGAACUAGUCCCGUCAAAAGUCGCUUAAACAAGAGCUCAACAAACAUAACAUUUCAUUUUACAAAUGACCAUGGCAAGAGUAAUAACAAAUAUCACAAAUUAUACUUGGUCCUGCCACUUUAGCAAUUAGACAAGUAGCUUUCAAAAUUCAUCUUUCAAAAGAUAAAGGAUACGUGCAUCACUUACCUUGAUCCAAUGGAUACCCACGCUAGUUCAAGUAAUCAAAAAAAUGGCUACCUUAUUCAUCUAGACAUAAUAAUAAAAUAUUCAAUUACAAUCUUAAAGAUACUAAACUACUCCAAAUUAUCAUAAAAAGGAGUCUAAUACUACCCUUAAUGACUAAUUCCCAAAAAAGGAUCAUUUCCUCAUCAAAGCAGGACAUAAGGGUUAAUUUUAAAGGGUCACUAACUUUAAGAAAUAUAGAAACAUGGCAAGAUAUUUACACAGAGUUAAAGCCCCCUGAAUCUAGUUUCCAACGCAACAAACAACACCUAAAUCCGAGUUUCCUACAUCAAGUUAUGGCCAAAAAACUGAAAUAUGGCUGUACAGAAAAUUUAAUCCAUCCGAGAAUUAUAGCCAAUCCAUCUAAGGAUUAUAGCCAUGGAUUUCUAGCACGUUUUCAAGGCAAAAACAAGUUCCAAAUUUGAUAAUCAAGUUCCAUUUCCAUCUCAAAUCAUCUUCCAACCUCCAUAGUUGUCAAAAUCAACAUAUUUUAGCUCCCAAAGUCAUGCAAAUACAUAAACAAUCUUGAAAAUGAAUUGUUAGCUCAAGUAAUUCUUUCCCUCAACAUUUCUCCUUUUUAUAUUGAUGAUAGCCCUAUACCCAUAUGAAAAUAGAGACCAAAACAAACUUUAUACAUCAUAGCCAUGGAAGUUAACCAAAAAUUUGAACCAAAUACUACCCAAUCAAAGAAAACCAAAAUCAUGUUCAAGGUUUCAUGAAAAUAUGUUGGUUAGUUGUCAAAGUAGAAUCUCCUUACUCCUCACUCCUUACUUGUGCUUGAUUUGUCAAGAAUUCUUCUUGAUUGUAAGGAAAAAGGAGAGAAAUAAGAAAGGGUUUUGUUGGAGAAGGAAGGAAGAAAGGAAAUGAAGAAGAUGAAGAAAUUUUUUGACAAGGAUGAAUAGUGAAAUCUCACUAUCACUUUAUUCUUUCAAAAUUUCACUUAUUAACACAUUGGUCACUCAAUUUAACAUCUUUCACUUUUCACCACUAAAUAGUAUUUCUUCGCAUAAAAUUCUCUACAAGACACUUGGGUAUCACAAUAAUUGUUAGGACCAACAAUUCUUAUAGACUGUCUGAGACAACAGUAUUCAUGGAUAUAAAUGAAAGCAAGAACAUUUGAUAUAGCGCUAGGGAUUUUCGUAUCAUCCUUGACAUUUAUAUGCAUCUCUUCUAUUUGGAUAUUUAUCUACAGCGAGUCUUUCUAUCGAUAAUGCCCAACUAAAUAAAAAAGAAAAGACAAUUUGCAUUUUUUCUUUUUUCUCUUUUUUUUCCCCAAUGUGUCAAACAGCAAGAAUGGUAACCUCCUGUUGGAUCCUUAAUCCAACGUUGGACUUAUAUGUGAAUAAUUAUGUAUUUCAAACUAUCAAAUAAGGUUAAAUUCAAUUAAAAUGAUCAAAUAUGAUUUGGACUUAAUGUAUCUAAUAAGGUGUGGGUCUUUAAUGUGUAGAGACUUAAAGGUAUUUUCUAUUUCUAUGAUGGAUUGAAAUAUGAAUCUAAAAGAUAACGGGAAUGCUAUCUAUAAAUAGGGAUAUGGUCCCAGGUCACAAGUAUUCUUAUUGUCAUAUUUUCUAGUACCACAAAACAGUUUUUUCCUAAUAUCCCAUCAUCAGAAAACAUACCAGAGAGAAACUAAAGUGCUCUCUCAAGAAUUGGUAAAUACGUGUUGACUUAGAAGGCUAUCCUAAAAUCUUCAAGGAUUCAAGUGCCAGUUUGUUAAUAUGAAUUUAGGUACGCUUCCGCAUUUAUAUUACAGUUCUAUUCAAAUAUCUAAUAUUGGGAUUCUGGAAAUUCCUACACCUUCUCCCUUUGAAAUUUCAGAGAACAAAACCAAAUAUUUCAUUCCUACUAAGUUAUGGGCACGCAUUACAUCAUUCCUACUAAAUUUAACUAUCUUAACAACUUAGAAAAAGCUAGCUACAUAUACAUUGUCUUCUUACAUAGAUAAAAGAUAUGCAGGGCAUAUAGAAAGAUCGUCCAAAUGGGUUUAAUUUGCUGCUUUUAAGCUUGACAUUUGUAAGACUUAUGACCGGAUAUCAUGGCAAUUUCUAUAGGCUGUUCUAAGAAAAAUGGUUUUUCCAGAAUCCAAGAUUAAUAUUGUUUUGAAGAGUAUCUUUUUUGUCCCUUACUCUAUCAUAGUUUUUUUUUUUUUUUAACUUAGGGUUAUCCGAACUUUUUGGCCAACUAAUUCCCUAAAACUGUGUAGAGUCUUAUUCUAAGGAUACAUAGUAAGAUAGUACACAGGAUUCGAUUACGGGACAUGUUAGUAACUAUCAAACUACGGAAUCAGUCGAACUACCCGCGGGGCACUCAAUCGUAGUUAAUGGAGUACUAUCAUCGGUAAUAUAUCCUACCAGAGGCCUUCGCCAGGGAUGCCCCCUCUGAGCAUCAUAUCUCUGCUUUAUACCAAGAGGCAUUGUCAGCUGCAUUAUGUUCUUUGGCAUCUAUAGAAUCUAUGUCCCCAAAUAUGAUUUUGAAAACCUAUACUUUGACUUACAAAAUCUUAAUUUUUUUUCAAAUCCAAUAAAGAUGGAAGGGAAAUAAAAAUAAACGAAUAAAAAGAUGGAAGGGAAAUAUAAAAAAAAAUAAGAAACAAAAAAUACAAAAUCUUUUUUUGACUACAAAUAUCAUUAUAAGUUUUUAAUCUAAAACUUUAAUGGUAUUUUCUAUUUCUUUUUUAUCUAUUUUUUUAUUUCAAUUUCUUCCUUUUUAUGUUUAGAGGAAAAAAUAAGCAACGAAAGGAUAAAUUUAUCAAUUUAUUAAUUUGAUUUUGCAUUUUACCGCUGACUCUAAGUUUUAAUGAAAAAACUAAGUCACAUUUUAUUUCAAAUCAUGAGGAGGUUAUAUAAAGUUUUCAUACCGUAGGAUGGUUAUGUUGUAAACCACCAAACCAUACGGGGUAAAAGGUAAUUUACCCAUUAAUCUAUGCCCACUAAGUUUCGUUGGAGCUAUAAUGCAUGAAAAAAAAAAGCAUGCGCUUUUCAGCAAAAUGGGGACAUAGACAAAACGCAAAUUUGAAAGUUUCAAUCUCAUAAACAUAAUAACCACCGGAUGUUUUCAUUCAUUCAUAGUGAAAACAAGAAGAUCCGCAGUCCUAGUUAAGCAAGCAAAGCUUAUGAGUCAGUUCAUUCAAAAACUUUCGGAAUUACCUGAAGAAUGAUGAGCUUUGGUGAUACUUUUUUCGGCAAACUGCAAGCUUUCUACAAUUAAGGUUGGAAUAAGAUUGGAUACAAACGUCCUCUUUAAAUACGAGACAUCAGUUUGUAAAGAGGAAGUUAUAUGGUUCUCUUUGGGAAGCUGCAAAUUUUGGUGAUUUGAAACCAAUUUGAAAAUUGACAAAAUUCGUGCUUUCCUUGGCAGCUACUGGCUUUGAUUGAAAGAGAUGAUCUUGGCAAUGGCUAUAUUGAGUCAAAAUCAGACCGUAACGAUCUUGGCUAUGGAAUUUGGAAUGUUUUGUUUCCACUUUCCAAAUGGUAGUUGGCUUGUUGCAAGAAAGAAGAAAAAUUGCAGUGGUCUUCAUUGGCAAAGUUUGAUAAUAUCAUGGUCAAAAUAUCUAAUUGCUCACGUGGGACAUCUUUUUGUAAGUAUUACUGUAUUAGUUGUCUUUUAACUACUUGUUCUAAUUUAUAGGUCAGGCUUUCCAUUAAGGAAUUGAAGCCACCGCCUUGCACUCCAAGGUGGUUCUGUGCACUAAUCAAAUUGAUUUAGAUGCAUUACAGGGUUAGCAAACAAAGUUGUGGGCUUUCAAAUGAUUCUAAUGGAAUUUACUAAUGAAAAGUCUUGCAACUCAGGACUCGUACUUCAAGCUUUGUGUUUGGCAAUUGUCAACCAAUGCCUUACCAAAUCUUAAAGCGGGCAUUUGCAGAAAAUAAAAAUUUUAUUUAAUUUAUUUAUUCAAGAUUUAAUAAAUUAAGUUGAUUUUAAUUAAACUAAAUUAAAUUAUGAAAGUCCUUUAUUUUUGAACUAACAAAUUGGACCAGUAUUAUGUGGGCUGUAAAAUCAAUUAAAUAUGCAAGGUCCAUUGAAAUUAAAAUGGAUUAAUGGAAUCAUUAAUUCACAAUGGACUGUUGGGCUAGCUUAUUACUAAAAUCAAUAUUAAAUAGAUUUCAAAUUGAACCAGUAUUAAACGAAUUGUUGGGCCAGCUUAUUGUUAAAGCUUUUCACAUAUAUUGUUAUAAUAAAAUAUUUCAAAACAUCCGUAAAAAUAGUUAAUCCAAACAGAGACAUGGUUUUUUUAUAUUACUUUAAUUAAUUUUUUUUUUCUUCUUUGGCUGCAAAAAUUACGCACCACCAUAGGAAUAAUUCACUUAAUGAACUUCGGAGGUCUCUGACUAAAAAUAGCGGAGCAAUCAUUGAUGGCAAUUUGGCAAUGGAAAUGAUGGCAUUUGACCAUGUUAUUAAUGGCACUUUAGAUCUAGCCUCAAAAAAUGCUGAUUCUAAACAUGAGGAUGGUUUCUUAGAAAAAGGUUGUCCUCUUUGUUCUCUUGCUACGGUAUUUGAAGACAAUCACUAUACGCAAGCAAAAAUGCCUAAUCCCUCCUUUCACUCAGUCGCUUCAUUUUUCUUCAUUUCUCACUUGUUUGUUUUUUGGAUUUAUAGAAGAAGUGCCUUUUAAAUUUACAGAACAAGAAGAAGAUGAUGAAUGCGAGAGAAAAGAACCCUGUGGUCAUAGCACAUUGUGCUUCCUAAAUUGCCCCUUCAUUAUGUCUAGUGAAUCACACAACGGUGGAAUCUGACAGAAUGACUCAGGAUCAAAAUACAUACUUUAGAUAGUUUAGUAGCCAAAAUCAAAUUGUUAAUAGUUCAGUGACCAAAACUCAAUGAUAGCAAAAGUUUAGUGGCUAAUGAGGUAAUUUGCUCGAAAAAUAAUGAUAGAAGCAGCGAAGGGUGAAAUUUGGAUGUUCAUGCUACUGAGAAAGUUUUUGUAUGACUGAUUCCCUGGAGAUUGCUAUCACUUGAGGUAGGGGAAACAACAAUGGAGGCUCUCUGUCUUGGAGGUGUCUGAAGCAAAAAGUCCUGGGCAGAAAUGUGAAACAAAAUCUGAAUUGUGGGCUUGUGUUUGCUGCUGAUGACUGUAUUAUUGUCCACCGAAGUCUUCCGCCCAAACAAGGUGACCCUCCUAUUAUCCCUGCCUCAUUAUCUACUUCAUGUUUUGCUUCUACUAACUCCCCUACCACAUAAAACGAGUUUUGGGUCGAGGGUUAGGUUAGGGCGCUAGAACUCGAGAAGGGGAUGAAGAAGAUUGAAGCUUCUGUGGUCUGGAGCUUAGGAUUGAGGAUGCUGGAGUUGGGUUUGCGUUUUGCCCGCCAAUGAUCACCCUGAGUUGCUUAAUUUGGUAGAGAAAAAUCAGAACAUGGGAGUGGCCUGGAGGCAGGUUACUCCAUGCCAGCGACCUAAUUAAUAUUGAUAUGGGUAAAAUACAGUAAACCCCUCUAUGGUUAGGAAAAUAAAUAUGAAACUCCCUCAUUGUUUAAAAAUACCCAUUUAACCUCCCUUGUGCUUUGAACAUCUUUGGAUUUUGACUGCUAACAGGUUGGGAAGCCAGUAAUAAUAUAAAAUACCAAAAAUACCCUCAUUUAUAAUAUCUCAAAAGGCACAGCUGCAAUUAGUAGAUCUUGAGUGGUACUUCAGGUGCAGAGAGAGAAAGUGGAUGAAACCCUAAACCUAUAGCACUAUCUUCUUCCAUGACAUCAAUAAACUACAGAAUUUUCGUGUGUAUCUCACAGAUGAAGAAGGCAUUUUUGUGCAGAUUGAUCGAGGGUUGCGAAGCAUCGAGCAUAGCGAUUAACAAGGUAAUCUCAUAUCUGAACCCUAACUUUACUUGUGUUGAUUGGUUUCAUGGUAGACGUUUGGUAGUAUAUUGUUGGAGAUAUUUCGAAACUUGGUAAAAGAAGUGAUAGCUCUGGCUUAGUCAAAAGUAUUGUCGACAAUCUUUAUCGAAAAAAUUUAUAAAAAAAAUUGCUAAGUAUGCAAAAAGGAGAAAAGAAUGGGUCUUUGCGGAGUAAUCUAGACUAUUGUGGUCAAUACUGGUAUUGAUUAUGUUUUUUAACCUUUUAGAUGAGUGUGUUAAUGUUGACUAUGCUUUUUUGAAACUAAAAGUGUAUGAAAUAUUGCCUGUCGUUUUCGAUACAUCUGAAAAUUAAAUUAGUAAAUUUAUCUCUGUUACUUUGGUUUAGAUGUAUAAGAAUGGAAGAUAAUCUGUUUAAGAGUAUAGACAUAUACAUGCAUUAUGGUGGAAAUUUCAAAUGAAACUGAGAAUUAGAUACACCGGCGAACAAGUGAGGAUAUUUUGUGGAUGGAACCCUGAUGAAUUUUCUCCAUUUGACUUUCAAAAGAUGUAUGACACAAUUGAGUGUGGUGUAAGCAAUAUGAAUUUCUAGUACUCUAUCCCCUUUCAUGACCUUGAUGUUGGUGUUGUUAGUAUUAAGGAUGAUGCCGACAUCGAAUUAUUGACAAUAUGUUAUGAAAGGCUUCCAGAAAUACACAUAUAUGCUGAGAAAGGGCCUGAACCCAUUGAAGUUGUCUUUGGAUGAAUAAUUAUUGUACAAGAAAGUGACUGGUGAUAGCUUACUUGCACUUCCAUUUCGUGAUAAUUGGCAAUUGGUGUGUUCAGAUUGGAUUAUCCGCAUUUGUUAAAGGCAGUGAUAACUUUGACCCUACAAUUAUUGGGAAUGAGUACAAUAAUGAUAUUUCACAUAUUAACUAUAGAAGAAAAGGCAUCUGUGAUGAAGUGUCAUCACAAAUGGAGUUGGAUCCAAUUUUUGUGGGACCACAUAGAGAGCAGAUACAUGAUUAAACUAAUAAAUCCAAGUGGAAGAAAACAAUAAAUGGUAAAAAAACUGAGUGGCAAAGAGUAAAAUUAACUGCAAGGAAGUUAGUCCAGCAGUUAGUUAAAGAGAAGGAAAAAGUUGAUACAACUACAGAGGUCUAGCAGUCUCCCACAAGAAAUUCAGCAGAAGAAACAACAUUUGGGACAGAUCCAACAGAAGAAACAACUAAUUUGAGGGGAGAAAAAAUAGCUGAUGAAGGUGGAGAGAAAGAUGAUGUCGUACCAGACUAUUUAGAUCUCCCGGACUGGCUAAGAGAAGGACUAGAAGGGCCUAAAGAUUAUGAUAUAUUUGCAGGCUUAAAUGGUCAAGAAUCAACACAGGCAUCUAUUAAUUCAGGAUCUAUAAAUUUUGUUAGAGUUGGUUCAGAGUAGCAACAAGAAAAUUAGCAAGCCAAAGCUAGAAAACAAGCUGGUAUAGAUCAACAACAAGAAAAUUAGCAGGCCUAAUCCAGAAAACAAACUAGUUCAGAGUAGCAACAACAACAUCAGCAAUCGAAAUCAAGAAAACAAGCAAAGAAACAGACCCAUGAAGAGAGGAGUCAACCAACACCAGGUGUGGAUGAUAGAUGCCGUGUCAAUGAGCAGGAAGAGAACUGGAAUGACCUAGUAAAGGAUGAUGAAAAGCUAUUUGACAAUGGGAUAAGAUCUGAUGAAGAAAGCAUCCCUGUUUAUAGUUACUUCAAUGCGGAGAAAAAGUUUAGGAAAGAGCACUUUGAACUAAAGGUUUGACAGAAAUUUACUAGCUUCUCCAAAUUUAGGGAGACUUUAGAGGAGUGGGAAAUUAGGGAGGGUAUGAGCACAAAUACAUCAGAAAUGAAGGCUCUCGAAUCACAACUAAAUGUGCGAAGGGGUGCAGUUGGAGAAUUCAUGCAUGCAGAAUCCAGAGAACAAAGACUUUUAUGAUCAAAACUCUUAAGCGAGAGCACCAUUGUGGUAGGGAUUAUAGCAAUAGACAUGCUACUUCAACAUAUCUAAGUGAAAAAUUUCAGGCCAAGGUGAGGGAUGAUUGUGGGUGCAGUACUCCGGGCAUAGUAAAUGAGACAAGAAGACUAUUUAUGUUAGACAUUAGUGGGAAGAAAACUGCCAGAACAAAGCAGAAAGCAUUAGAGGCACUUAGGGAAAAUGACAUGAAGCAAUAUCACAGGCUUUGAAAUUGUGUAGCCACUGUAAAAAAGUCCAAUCCUGAUACUCAUAUUUCACUGCAAAUUGAUAGGCAAAGUGUUGAGGAAAAAGCUACAUUUCAGAGGAUAUACUAUGGAUUAGGUGCUCUGAAGAAUGGUUUUUUAGAAGGUUGCAGACCUAUAAUAGGACUAGAUGGCUAUUUCCUAAAGAGUCCCUUUGGAGGUUAGCUGCUUACAGUCAUGGGUAGGAAUGCCAAUGAAAAUAUGUUUCCUAUUUCCUUUACUAUUAUUGAGGUAGAGAACUAUGACAACUGAUAAGUGACUAAUUUACGUAAUAAUUGGAUGAUAUUUUAUAUUAUUUUUAGUCACUUUGGUUAUAUUAUUGGAAUAAAAUGAAUCAUUUUGGCUAUAAUUGGUGAAAAAUGCUUUUAAGUAAUUAAAUGAAGUUUUUAUCAUUUUUUACUUGGAUUUUGUGCAUUUUGACAUAUUUUUGUAUUUUGGCUAUAACUUGAGCUAAAAUGAUCGGAUUGAGAGAAUUCUUAAACCAAUUUGAAGAUAAGAGAUAGAUCUACAACUUUGGUGAAGACAUCUGAAUCCAGUUUGAAGGUUUUCCAGGUCAAAAAGCCUAAUUACAGUAGCUAAUUUCCAUUGAUCGAAGCUGAAACAGAGCAAUGAGCAGUCAAAGGUGUUUUGGUCAUUUUGCAGCCUACACAGAUCCAAAUGAGGUGAUUCUUGAUGCAUUGGAAAGCUAACCCAAGGGGCUACAAGUUUUAUGUUUUGGUCAACGGCUAAAUAAGCUUUUAUCAUCAAGAAAAGUUCAGUUGAAGUUGAUGCAAAAGUGGAGCAGAGCUGGAAAUUGAACAAAAGUGCACCAAAAUGUCACUGUAGUAAUCCGGCCGGAACUUGGCUGGAUUUGUGGCCGGAUUUGUGGCCGGAUUGUGGUCAAAGAAGGCUGCUCUUUACGCGAAAAACUCAAUUUCACCUCUACUAAGUCACAUGUAAUACUAGACAUGUGAGAAACAUUACCAGCUGUAAAAGGGAAGUGUAGGCCUCAUUUUCUUGACUUCCUUUGUCUUGAAAUAGUCAAAUCUUGCAAGCAGAAUGGGAUCAUCAUAUGGGAGAAUAGAGAGACAUACGGGAGAAACUUGGAGUCUGCAAAAAUGUAAUUCUUCCAUUUUCCUUAGCGUAGGAUAGUUUUAGUUUUAGACAGUUUAUCCUUUCUUGUAUGUUAGCUACAUGAAGAGGAAGAUGGAGGAUGAAGAAGGCAAGAAAAUGAACUCAUGUGACAAGGGUUACAUUCCUUCCAAACUCUUUAUCUUUUGUACUUGAUUUUAUUGUUUAGUUAAUAUACAAGUCUGGAUUUUAUGUUAUUUAUGUGUCUCUAAAAUUUAUGCCUUGGGUUUGGUUGAACUUCCUAUGAUUGUUAGUGUUUAUUAUUUAACUAUUUGAUUGCUAUGAUUUGAGCAAGUUAUUUAGUACUUUAGCUCUUUAAAAUCAUGAUUAAUCUGGUAUCAUUGAUUGUGAUUAUCUAAGGUGUCGUUUUUGCAAUGAAAAUUGAGAUUUAAUACUAUUUCAAGAAGUGCUAAACACAGGGAGUACACUCACGAAAGUAGAGGUGCACCUAUGUGGUUUUUAGUGAUUCAUUUCAUGUAAUUCACUGAAGAAAUGAACUUGUAGCUAAUUUCAUAACCAUGAGAAUAGGUAUGGAUUAGUUAUAAGUAUAAUUGAUUUACUACGAAAGUAGGAUUCAAAUGCAUAAGGAAAUUACACCAUAACUAGCCUAGAUGUAGUACUCAAUGAUCCAAAUAUAGCACUUGCAUGAGUAGUUAGGGAUACCACAACCUAAUGAGCUUUUAUUUGUUAUUUUGUAUAAUUUCAGUAGGUUAAAUUUGUUAUAAUUCAUUGAUAGUCUAAAUAAUAGAGAAGCUUUAGUAAUACCGGUAAUUGUUCACUCUUCCCUGUGGGAUCGACCCAAUAUAUACCCAAAACUACUAGUUGACCUGUAUACUUGCAGUGAACGGGUGUAAUUCGAUUUUUUUUUAACUUGUACGUAUAUUAAAAUCCCGUCAACAACUAGAGCUAGUUUUUGAGAGAAUUAAUCACCCAAAUUGGAGAAGGAAACAAAGGAAUGGCUUACACUUUCAUUUCGGAUAGGCAAAAGGGUCUUGUCUAUGUAAUUGAGGCGCUGUUCCCUGAAUUAGAGCACAGCUUUUGCCUAAAACACAUGUUCAAGAACUACAAACAAAGAUUCAAGAAUCAAAACCUUAGAGACAUGUUCUAGGAAGUUGCUGCAGUAGCAAGUAUGCCAGAGUAUGAAACUGCCCUAUCAAAUCUUGAAAGGGUUGACCCAAAGGAAGGUGACAAACUAACAAUUGCAGGAUGGCUCAAACGGUUGCCUCUAAAGCUUUGGUCCAGAGCCCACUUUAGUACUAUUUGUAGAAGUGACACGUGCAUCAACAACAUUAGUGAGUCAUGGAAUAAUUACAUUCUAAAGGGUAGAGGUGAGCCAAUAAUAACAAUGCCGGAGUAGAUUCGGAGGAGAUUAAUGCAAAGGUUGGUAACCAAACGAGAGGGCAUGCUGAAAUAUAGCAGCACUUUAUGUCCAAACAUUCACGAGAAGUUAGAGAAACUGAAGAUAAAAGCAAGAAACUGUGUCGUGGUUUAUGGAGGAAAUAGGAAUUUGGAAGUUGAUGGCUAUGGAAGGACUAAUGUCAAUUUGGAUAUAAAGACAUGUACCUGUAGUCAUUUUCAACUUAGUAGAAUUCGAUGGGUGCAUGUGGCUGCUUGCAUUCAAAGCAGAAAGUUGGAAUUCGAGCAAUUUGUUGAUGCUUGUUACUAUAGGGAAGUAUAUUUAAGGGCCUAUAACUUCACAAUUGGUCUUGUUCUUUCGAAGCAAUUCUAGGUGGAUAGCAAAAUGCAGUAUUUGAACCCACCAUUGGUGAAAAAACAACCUAGUAGGCCAAAGAAACAGAAGAAGAAGGGUCCAAAAGAACCUACAAAUCAGCAUAAAGCAAGUAAGAACGGGUCUGGCAGUCUACUGGCCGAGGUGUUUGAAAUUUAGACAUAACAUUAGAACCUGCAAAUCAGCAAUUCACCCUAAGUCCAAGCUAUACAAGAUAAUGUAACAUUUCAGAACCAAAUCAUUUCUCUAUUUUGUUUUGUUGCUGCUUAUACAUCCAGCCAUUUCGAUGUGAACUAUAAGCACCUAAAUGUGGUCUAACAGUUUCAAAUGCAACAUUCUGGCUUCUGUAGCUCAGGCUAGUGUCGCAAGUACUACUGCUACUACUCUUUCACAGGUACUAGUUCUCAAUUGCCUAUUUUUGGGUAUUGUGACCUGCUUACACACUAAGCAGUGCCACUUAUAAGCAGGAACCAAGUUAGCCUAUAAGUGGUACCAAUCAAGAAAGCUAGAAGAGUAAAUCUUCAAAGAGGAAGCAACCAGCUACAGGAAUGUCAAGAUUGCAACAUUGUGGCUCUAAGAGACCAAAAACAUGAACUAUAGUUAUCUCUCUUUUGUUUGUCGAAUAUACUGGUUAUGUUAACCACAUUGAUCCCUUCUGGGAUUGAAUCGUAAUAUUUAUUGAAACUAGAAAACUCAGAUUUUGGUUAUGUUUUGGUAGAUUGAUACCAUUAUGGUAUGAAUGUAGUAAUAUGCUUCAUUUUUAUGGCAUUCGUGGCAGUAUUGCUGGUGACCCUUUUUGGGAUUGGAUUAUAAUAUUUACUGAAACUAAAAAACUCAAAAUUUUGGCCUUAUUAUGGUAUAUUGAUACCAUUGUGGUAUGGAUGUGGCAAUAUGCUAAUGGUAUCUUUGAAAUAGAUAGGUGAUAUCUUUACUAAAAAUGAUUUAAUUUGACAAGUUCAUUGCAAUGUAAUCUCCAGUCUUUCAAUUUUUUUGUCAUGUAUUUUUUAAAUGUCCUGCAACAAAACAAUGUAGCUUCAUUCGUUCAUCUUAAUUAAAACCAGAAUGUCUACUUCAUUACAUCCAAUUGAAACUAGAUGUGGCAACAUGUUGGACAUAACAAAAUCUACCAUUGUGCCCAACUCCCUCAUCUACUACACAUUUUUUAUACUAAUUUGUCCUGAACAUUCAUCUCAUACAUAUAACAACUAGUGACAAAAGAGACACAACUACAGACACCAUCAUCAUCAUCUUCAUUAGCCCCAUCAUUGUUUCGACAUUGUGAAUCUUUGACUGUAGUGUCUCAUAAUCAUAUUAUAGUUAUUACUUUCCAUCCCUUGCCCAGAGAUGAAAAAUCUUUCCGCCAUUGCAGAUCCAGUUGGUGAAACUCCUUCCAUGUAUGGAUUUUGGCAGGAUGAUUCAUUAGUGCCUCCCUCUCUACUAAUUGGGUUGCAUCAUGUCCAGAAUGAACAAGCACCAUUUUCACAUACAAAAUACAACAUAUCUUUUGAUGGUUUUUUAGAUUCCACUAUCUUAAUCUUUGCUUUAUUCUUGCAAAAACAUCAUCAAUUUUGGUACCUUAGCUUGACAUUUUCGGUUUUUUUCCUUGAACAAAGCUAUGUUGUGCCCUCCAAAGCUACGCUCUUAUGAUUUUUGUCUUAAUUUUGUGUCUCUCUGUCCAAUUUUUCCAUUUGCAGAAUAACAACUAUGGUGGGUUUCAUUUGUAAGAGACAUGGAGAGAAAAAUGGGAAUGAAAACUAGUCUCUUUCAGUCACAUGCGGCCAUUAGGUCGCAUCAAUGUCACUUGCUAGCUUCCUAGCCGGUUAGCAGGUAAAAUCCAAAGAAAUCCAAGGCACCGAGGGAGGGUUAAGUGGGUGUUUUUAAAUAAUGAGAGGGUUUUGUGUUUAUUUCCCUAACCAUAAGGGGGUUUACUGUAUUUUACCCUAUUGAUAUUGGUGAGGUGGAAUUUGGGGCAGAACCCCUCUAAGAAUUUGUGUUUCUCCCCAGUGUCUCAAGAGGUAAUCAGGCCCUGCUUGAAUUCUAACCCUGCUGGUAGACCUAGUUUGGAAGAACUAUUCAGGGUUAUUUGUUUAAGGACCUUAAGCCAUUUGAAAAGGUGGUAGGGAAAAUCUUUGAGGUGCGCAUUUUUUAUGGUAAGGGCACCUACAAACUGGUGAAAAUUCUUGGCCACCACCAGGGGGAAUGUCUGGUUUACCAAGCCAAGUAUGAGCCCAUCAAAAGCACUGAUCACUCUGUGGGUUUGAAGGUAAUGGAGAAGGAGAAGUGAGUUGCUCCAGCAAUCAGCUGAGAUCAGUGUGGAUGCUAAUUCCCAUCCGUGUAUCAUCGGGGUUAUAAACGAAUUUGCAAGCGGUACAAGUUAUUGUGCCUCGAUGCCCUUAUUUGAUAAGGGUUCAUUGAGGCUUCUUUCAAGGAAUCGAUGAAAUGAUGGUUGACCCGACGAUUGUAUUGCCCUGGUUCGGAUGGAACCCUUAAAAGGUCUUGGUAUCCUCCAUGAAAAUCAUAUGGUUCUCAAACGUGCCAGUCCAGACGAUAUUUUUUCUGUAGGAAUCCUUUAUGCAUUGCUUUGGGUCAUGAUGCAACUCUGUGUCAUGCUUGGAAUUCUGACAAUGCUAAAAAUUCAGUGAUAAAUUCAACGAUUGAUGAAUUCAGUCAUGCUUCAGAAGUCUAUGAUACUGGGGAGGCUUAUUCCUCGAAGGCUGACAUAUGGCUCCUCAGAUUAACUGCUUUGGAGUUGGCCUAUCACCGCAUCCCUGUCAAGACAAGAGCAGGCUUAAUGGUUGUUAUACAUCAAUCAAAACAAUUGUUUGCCUACAGGACUGAAGCACCGCUUGUCUAGGGAGAAACGAGACAGUUCGCCAGCAAUUUCGGUCACUUUGUCAGCCUAUGCCUCCCUGAAAAUCCAGCACAAAGACCAUUAGCUAUCCAGCUGUUGGAACAUCCAUUCUUGAGAAGUUGCACUAGUCUUGAAUGUUUCGAUAAGGUGCUUUAAGUAAUAUGGCCAUUUUGAAGCUUCUCCUCCCCUGAGUCUGCUUGAAGUAUUUCGUGUUUUCGACUUAUUGUUUUUGAUUCUUAAAGGUGCUCAAGUAAUGUGGCAAGUUUGAAAAGUUCUCCUGCCUAUGUUAAAAUGAGAAAUUUCAUAUUUUCGGUGUACUGUUUUUGUGCUCUUAAGUUUAUCUUGCUUACUUUUUGACAUCUUGUGAAAUUUAAGUAUUUAGAUUUUUUUUUAAAAUUUUGGGUUAAUUAUUGACCUUUUGAAAUUGAGAAUGCUUGGGUGUUGGUGUUAUAACAAUUUUUUUUGGGUUGCUUCUUCUCAAAUUGUUACUUGGGAGCUUUAUUUUCCCCUGAUAAGAAGAAGAUGAGGCAUCAACAAUUAUUAUCCCUGGCAAACCAACAUUUAUUUGCAACAUGUCUUAGUAUAAUGAUGGAAUAUUUUAGUGCCUUCAGAAUCAUAUUGCAUUUGGUUAUGCAGGUAAAAUUUUCAUAGGAAGGGGAAAAUUAAAAGUAGAAAUGCCUUUAAUAAUCAUUUCACCAGUCAAUAAUUCCUUCACAAUGCCAAUUGACAAUGGAUGUUGAAACUUUGAACGCAUAAAACUACUUUAUUGAGAGGCAAUUGGUGACAUUGUGUUUACUGAAGUGAUUCUUUGCAAUGCUACAGAACGUAUGAACUAGUUAUAAAACCAAACCGCAUUGAUAGCCUCUACUCGUGUCCUACCUCGUGAGAGCUAGAUUUGCUAAUACUUUGAAAAUUAAAGUUUUUUCACCAUUUUAUCAUUUUUGGCACUGACGGGCUAUGUUAUUGCAUCUGGAUAAUCCACCUAAUUCUAUCCUAAAAUUCUAUGCAGUUGUGUUUUUCUUCUUCAUCUCCUCAGAUCUUUUUUCUUUUUUCCCCCCCUUUCCUCUCUGUUUUGAACUUAUGCCUCAUGGUAUGCCUAACUUGCGACCUUCAUAAUGAUAUGGCCUAUUUCUUAAUGUCAGUUUGCUGGCGCCUUCAAGCAAUCUCAAGUUCUUAGGAUCAGAGAGUUUGUCCAAAAUGGUCUUAUUUCUGUAGCUCUUUUACGGAAUAUUCCAUUCUGCCGGAGCAGCAGACCUUUUGGCAAAAUGUACUUGUGGCUUCAAUGUUUUGGAGCAGUUAGUCUUGCCUUGUCCUUUUUUGCAAUAUCUGCUGGAUUUGAAUUCUACUUAACAUCCUCGAGAAAGAAGAACAACUUGUAGUUUCCACUCUAGACGUGUAUUAUUGAGGUUGACGUUAGUCUGUUUUAGUUCUUUGAUGCUUGCUAAAUUGUGUGUUCAGUGCUUUGUACGGUUGUGUGACUUUCUUCAAGCAAUCUGUGCAUUGUUGUUUUCUCAUUCAGAAAACUUGCAAUCCUUAAUAGUUGUAAGAAAUGGAUUUUCUGUCUCCUGAUUUCAAUUAAACAUGUAUGUAUGUGUAUCUAGUCUUUCAAAAUGGAGCUUCUGAAGUAUCAGCAUAUUUUACACUUGCAGACACUAAUUCUAGAAAAACUAGAGAUAAAUAUAUAGCGAGUUCUUUCAUCCUUGUAGUCACUGUGCUGACAACUUCCAAAGUCUCAUGAAGAGCUUAUUGUUUCCUAAAUUGUCCAUUAUGUUUGACAAUUGGCAGUAGUUCAACUUGAGGAUAUGUUGGCUUCUAGCCACUCUGGUAUCUUCAGUGCUUUAGUCUAGAUAUAUAUUGAACUCUUGCUAACAUCCUGUUCAGCUAGUUUGCUCGGAUAUGAGGUCGAAGUGGCCGGUGUGUAUCGUACUGCAGGAAAUCAGACAUUUGAUCCAGCGGAUGGGUGCAUCUCUUCACCAUAUAUUCCGUGAGGCCAAUUCGGUGGCGGACGCAUUGGCUUCUCUGCAAUUGGGAGGGCAGCAGUACUACAUCUCAGAUGCGGCUCUGCCUAUCAGGCCCAGAGGAGAGGCUCUUCUGGAUCGUCACGGAGUACCUCGGAUCCGUGAGGUGCUCACUAAGGCUUGAUUGUUUAUGUCCUCCCUUCAUAGAUCAUAUUUCGUACACUCCUUGUAAACAUUCUUUUUCUUAUCAAUAAAAUGAGACAAGUUGAAAAAAAAAAAAAGAAAAAAAAACUAACCAUUGACAGUUAAUUGCGUACUACGAAAGUAUACAACUAAUCUAUUUCUCUAUUGAAUCUUUCUUGUGGACCAAGAAUAAAAGCGUAGCUUGAUAAAGGCACUAUUAAACUUUGUACAACUAUAAAAUCUCGAAAGUUACCCAAAGUAUAAAUCAAACAACAUUGUUGUGAUUAUUAUUCUGCAUUUUCAUGAAGAGCAUGUCCGAACCUCAAACUUUUAACUAUUCUUGAUCACAGAUGAAACAGGAAGCUAAAAAACCAACUUUUUUUUUAGGGUGGAUCACUUAAAAAAUGGAAUGACAAUUGAUUUAGGGGUGCAAAGUUUAUUAUUUAUUGAAAGAUUUUCUUCAGAGCUCAGGCAACUUCAGCUGUCAGUAUUAUGAGGUCCAUUAAUUGUGGAUGAGAUACAACAUGUGGUAGUAGCUUGGUGGAAGAUUCCACUAACACAGUAACCUUGGAAAUUAGCUCUGGAAUGGGACCUGUCCCAGAAGUGUUUUUGCUGAUCUACUUGUAUCUAGUAUAGGCUUUGCUUUACUAUGUAAAUCUACAUUGCCCCCCCCCAAAACACACAAAACACCAAAAACGCCACCAAAAGAAAGGAUCAACUAAGCAAAUGCAUAUAUUCAUUUAGCCCAAUCCGCCAUAUUUUUUGUUUCAAGAAAGCUCCAAUGUGGUGGAGUACAACUGAACCACAUUCAAGAGUUCUAAGAGAACUUUCUAGUUUACAUUGGAUAUUAUGUGCACAUCAAAACUCCUUAAUCUCUAUUAACAAGAACAUGUUCACUAUCCAGGUUAGACACUCCAACAGGACUAGUAGCCUGCUUGCUUUACAGGUUUACAAUCAUAGCUGGUCUAUCCGCUUGAAAAUCAUUGAGAGCCUAGAUGAUCGUGAACCACACAGUAUAUCAAGAAAAAAAAAACACACACACACACACACAAUCACAGGUGCCUCUUUUUCCUUAGCACAAAAAAAAAUUCUGAUACAGAAAAAUUUAGAUGAGUUCGACAAAGAAAAAAGUGGAAUACAUCCCAACGUUCAAACACAUUUGCUUUAAAAACACUAAAGUUUUGGUUGACAUGAACAAGAUUUCAAGCACCUAAAUCAGUCUCAAGCAACUCAAUUGCAUUAAACAGGAAUCAGAUUUGGUGGAACCAGAUUUCAAGUGCCAUCAAGCAACUAAAUUGACAUCAAACAACCCAAUUGCAUUAAAAAUGAAGAGCAAACAAUUUAUUUAUACCUGACACAGAAGUUGCUUAUUUGCGCAAGUCUUUCAGCUGGUUAGCUAACUCAUCAUACAGGCUUCUUGUUUCUGUUUGUUGCUGUUGCAAGGUCUUAAUCAACUCUUGCUGAGCAGUGAAUUGUUGAGUUACUUCUGCAGCUCGUUUUUCUGCUUCAUCUGCUCUUUUUCGGCUGUCCUCAAUCUCAUGCCUCCAGCGUUCUACCUCAGCAGCUUGCUUCUUGGUUGCACUACGACCGCGGAUGUGUCCAGGUACGUAACCAAGUUCUUGCUCGCAUAUUUCUUUGCUAGUCAUUGAAGUUGUAGCCUGCAAUUCCCUCAUUUUGUCCUAGGCAAGUAAAAAAUAUGAUCAUUAUGUAGCUGGAAUGGAUGUCAAUAAUUUAAAAAUCCAUUAUCCAAGUGAAACAGCUCACCAAGGUCUCUUUUGCUUUGUCAUUUACCAGCCCCCCUGACUUCUUUGACUUUCGACUUAACUCAAACAUGACUAUCUCUGAAAGCUCGACAUCUUCUUUCCUUUUCUGUCCAAAUUUUCAAUUUUUUCAUUUUCAGUCAUAUGACAAAAAGGAUGUACAUGUACAACUGUUGGCUGGGUUUCAGAUUACCUUUUCCUCAACAACUCUUGCAAGCGAUUUUGUGCCAACAGUAGUGUAGCAGUCAUUUUUGGCACGAUUUUGCUUGUUACGUUCACUAAUUUUCUGCCACAAAUUAGUGAAAAUUUUAACUGACAAAGAUUAGCAAAUUUGUGAAGUGAAAUCUGAAAUUUAAUAAAAGGAUAGGUUAUUUUGACAAGCUAACCUUAAAUUCAUCAUUUUCAAAGUAGCUGACCAGCCACUUCCAAUCUUCUUCACUCACACCUUCAGGAACUUGCCUCAAUGCUUCUUGCCUUGAUUCAAAACUCUGGAAAUACUUGUGAAGCCGAUAUCGAUGGUUUCGAUAUUGUGUGUUUAACUGCCUAUUAAUAGCAGUUUUUGAGGUGAUGUGCUCUGGAAAUCGAAAGUCAUCCUACAAUAACAGUGCAAUCUACUUAAAACCAAGCAAAUCUAAAGCAGUAAAAUCUCUCAUACUUUCUGGAUGAAAUUAGAGUAUUAGCAGGACAACAAAUACCGUAACCGUGCUGUAUAUGCCUUCUCGGUCACCGGGAUUGAGAUGGGACCACUUUGGAACAUUAAGCCUAGCAGCCUUCCUAACAACACAACCCCCUUCUGUGAAAUGAAAGAUAACCACCGCUAAAUGUAUUAUAUAUAUAAACUAGAGAACUUUUAUCAUACAUUGUAAAAAAUUUUGGAUUUACCUUUAGUCUUUGCAAUUUUUACGAAACAAUGGCUUUCUCCAGUGGCUCCAAAAGUUUUAAUAACCAUUUCUUUUUAUUUUUUUGGUCCUAUGGGGGAAAGAAUAAACCAUUCUUUACAGCCAUAUAAACCCAAAAGGUCUAAAGAAAAAGCAAAAUUUCUGUUCGCUGGCAUUCUAACAUCUUGAUAACAAAAAUGAAAGAUAGGAGGCUUGGAUUGAGGACGGGUAAAAUCAUCUUGAAUUGUGCCUGGAACUCCAGGAAUAAUUGGAAAAGUCAUGCAUUUUUAAACACGUUAAUAUCAGGUUUAUGGGUUGAACUAGGUCUCUAGGAUUAUAACAAGGAUUAAUAUCUAUUUAAAUAUUACAGGUACAGAUAAGAACAUUUAUGAGUUAUCAGAGUUUGAAAAAGGUAAGAAAUUGAAAGAAGACUCCUUUCAAGAUUAAUCAAUCAAUUGACUCCAAAAUCCUCAUGAAUAAGAGUCAGCUUCUUCAAUGCAGAAUGAUCAGAGAUUACUCAACAGACCUAAAAGCUGCAAGGAAAAGACAGCACGUGCUUCAUUCAAUUCAAUCAACUCAGUUAUUUUAGACAGCAGAGUACCAGUUAUUAAUAGCUCUAGCAACAUUUUGGGUUCCCAAACAAUACGUCAAAACACUAAUAGGAAUUGUAACCAGAGUGAAGCAGACACCAAAUCUAACAAAGAAACACCAAUAUAAGGCACUGGAAUAAAUUCAACUACAGCAUCUGACUUAUCCAUGUAAUAAAAGACACAGGUGAUGAUCAAAUUUAAACAAAUGAUUGAUCUAUCAAUAUCUCUCCCCUCCAAAUGGAAAAAGCUAAUUAUGAAUGACAGGUAUCGCAUAUACUAUGUUAUGAACCUUGUGUAACAAAUUGCUAACUACUCGAAACAAAAUUUUUUACCGUUCGAAUCUGAACUUGAAUCUUCUAAUCAAAAUACAAUGCCAAACUCAGGAGGAUAAGCCUUGAUGGGUACCGACUACCAAGGUUGAAUCAAAAUUACUGCAUCUCUGAAGUCGGCGACACUAAAAUUCAGCAGAUCCAGGCGUUCGUGGGAAAGGUAUUGCAUCUCUUAUAUUAUCAAUACCAGUUGCAAAUUGCACUAACCUUUCAAAACCUAAGCCAAACCCAGCAUGAGGCACUGAAAAGCAAUUAAAGAACAAAACAGCAUGUUUAGUCAAGGUCAUUCAAAUUAACUCCACAAGGUACCCUGAAAACUAGCUUUCAAACUGAUUCCAUGCCAAGAGUGAAUGCAGCAUUUAAUAAGGCAGUGUAUUGGAACAUCAAUGAUAAAAAUUAGUAGCUGCAAGUUAUCAUCUGCCAUUUGAGACCAAGUCAAACCCCCCCCUUUUGGAAGAUUCACUAAUCACAAACGAAUAACAGGAGAAAAAGAACAACUAAAAAAUGUUGGCCUAAAUCAAUUACAACCCCCCCCCCGGGUGGCCUAAAUCCAUGAUUUCCUCAUCCGUACACAGAAAUUUCUCAAGAUACAAACUGAAAAUGCAACAUUUCAGAAGCCCAAAUUGCCUCGGAUAAUGGCAAGGAAAUGAAGCCUUUCGGGGGCAGGACAAAAGCCAUUGGAUAAUGAGCUAACAAAAAUAGGGGAAAAUUAAAAUGUAGGUUCGAAAAUGGCAAGGAAAUGAAGAACAAAGGGGGAAUACAGAUAUGAAAAUCUUAACUAUUACAAAAGAUUAACCAUUGUAUGACUAAACACACAUUGCACAACAACAUGUUAACGGCAAUUGAAACCCCAAAACAGUUUUCUGGCCAGUUCCCAAACGUGCAAAAUUCUAGUAAAGUGCAUGCUUGAUUACCAGAGAGAGAGAGAGAGAACCAGAGAGUAAAUUACAUUUAAAACAGCCAAAUAAAUUAGGCAAAUCAGUCAAGUUCUCUUCCCCUUAAGGAAGCAAUUAAAUGGCACGACAAAUUGUUUAAUUUCUCUUUCAUCCAACCAAAUUAAUGCAGUCAAAAAAUGUUCGCAUUUCAUAGCUCCUCAAAGAAAGCCGGUUCUGACCAUCCCUAACACUGUUCAUACUCCAGAUCGCAAGUGUUUCAGAGUAUUACCUUCCCCACUGCUAAUUAACAAUCUAGUUCAUAAAUUAGUCUUUACAAUAGAAGGCUGAGCAGCUUUUGAAAGCAAAAAAAAAAACACAUACCGCACAAUUAGCUGAAGAGGGGGUCGGAGAAAAGUCUAAGCUGAAGUCGCGGAACGAGGAGGGAGCUUGGAAGUGUUCUGACUUCGCUUCUUCGGCGAGCUUGACCUGAAGAUUGGCACUCGUCAAUGGUGCUUUAGAGGAGCAUUUUGCGGAAGCAGAAGGUGUUUGAGGUCCAGAGUUUUUCGGUGUUCACCAUAGAAAGGAAAGACUGAGAAUAAAAUUUGUCUAAGUGUUGGAAGAGAGAAGCGGCGAGACUUUUGUUUGUCUGUGAACAACCAAAAACGACGUCGUUUUGUAGAGAUUUCAGCCACCCGCCUCGCGCGUCUUUCAGAUUUCAGACUGGCGCUCUUUUUUUUUUGGAAUCUAAGCACGUCUUUGAGAUUCCAGGAUUCACGCCUUUAGCUUCAUACAUCUUUUUUCUUUUUUUUUUCCCUGGUCAAAUUUUUUUUUUCAGGUUUCUUUUUUCAUACUUAAUCUCUUUUGUUUUCCUUAAUCUCAUCUAUAAAUAUCAAAUAAAUUAUUUGAUAUUGGUUUCUUUUUUGUGCAUGUAUAUAUAUGUGUGCUUGUUUGUGUCUAUAUACAUCUUUUUGGGUUUGGACAACUCAAUAUACAAAUUAUUUAAGAAAUUACCUUACAAUAAAACUUACACAAUAAAACAUGUUUCAAAAAUUUAACAUGCAUAGAAUUGCUUAUAUACAGUAUAGCACUUCUUACUCAUGCUUAUCCUACUCUUUGUCUAUUACUUAGUUUUUAUAAUAAAUUAAAAGAAACAUGUAAUCAAAUAUUCUGUUAAAUGUGUUACAACUCUCAAUCUUAUUGCACGACAGAUAUUUUACUAAAUAAUUUUAAUUUUGUAUAUACCCAUUCCAUAUGAAAAUAUUUAUUACUUAUGAUGUAUUACACGUUAUACUAAUCUUUCACAGUGCUAACAUUAGACUACAAAUUAUAUUCAAUUAUACUUUUUCAAAUUAUUUCAGUUAUUGAUUUUUGGGGGUUGUUAUAAGUAAUAAUAAACAAUUCAUGAAAAAAAUUUUAUGCUCAGACAUGUCUAUUAUGUCAACUUAGCAAAAAUUACAAAUAUCUAAAACUAGUUUGUUAUUAUAUCAUUUGCAUUUUGCUAAUACAUAAUGAAUAGGGGCUAAAUUAUAAAAUUAGGGUGUCAUAUCUUCUGUGCUUUUGCUCAUAUAAAAGAAUUGGGGGCUAAAUAAUAAAAUUAGGGUGCCAUAGUAGAAUUAGUGAAAUUUGAUGAAAAUACUAUAGAAUUGCUUAUAUACAGUAUAGCACUUCUUACUCAUGCUAUCCUACUCUUUGUCUAUUACUUAGUUUUUAUAAUAAAUUAAAAGAAACAUGUAAUCAAAUAUUCUGUUAAAUGUGUUACAACUCUCAAUCUUAUUGCACGACAGAUAUUUUACUGAAUAAUUUUAAUUUCGUAUAUACCCAUUCCAUAUGAAAAUAAUUAUUACUUAUGAUGUAUUACACGUUAUACUAAUCUUUCACAGUGCUAACAUUAGACUACAAAUUAUAUUCAAUUACAUUUUUUCAAAUUAUUUCAGUUAUUGAUUUUUGGGGGUUGUUAUAAGUAAUAAUAAACAAUUCAUGAAAAAAUUUUUAUGCUCAGACAUGUCUAUUAUGUCAACUUAGCAAAAAUUACAAAUAUCUAAAACUAGUUUAUUAUUAUAUCAUUUACAUUUUGCUAAUACGUAAUGAAUAGGGGCUAAAUUAUAAAAUUAGGGUGUCAUAUCUUCAGUGCUUUUGCUAAUAUAAAAGAAUUGGGGGCUAAAAAAUAAAAUUAGGGUGUCAUAGUAGAAUUAGUGAAAGUUGAUGAAAAUACUGUAGUAUACAGUGAUGCAAAAAGUUGUCACAAAAUUGGAACCGGGUAGACUUUCAAUGACAACAAGUUAUGUUGUCACUGUAGAGAGAGCGUUUGUGACGACUUUACUUGAGUUGUCAUAAAAUCAUUUCCCGCGGCAUCAAAUGAGAUGCGCCCCAACUAUUUCGUGACGAGUUGAGAAUGACAACUUCCAAUGUUGUCACUGAUUAUGCUUGUGCUGUACUCAUCUGUGAUGACACCUAAUGUCGUCACUGAAUUAGGUUAUCUGUGACAAGAUUUUUGUUGUCACAUAAAUUUUUGUCACUGAAAAAUAUAUUUCUUGUAGUGAUGAACUUCAAUUUUGAACACUUUACACCUUAAACUCUUAAUUUCAAGCACUUUGUACCCUAAAUUCUUAAAUUUAUUUCAUUUAAUUUCAAUCAAUUAUUAUAUUGAUAAAAUUAAUGAGAUAAAGGGAGGUAAAAAUUAAUAGCAAUGUACUUUUGUUAUUAUAUUCUUAAAUUUGUUAUUGUAGUUUAUCAUGAUUUUCUUCAGGAAAAGACUUAAACCCACCUGCAAAGGCUUAAACCCCACCUGCACUAGGGUACAACAAACAAAGGUGAGUUGGAUAUACUUCCGUACGACUGCAGAACUCAUUUACACAAUGCGAUUUUGAUGCAGCAAUAAGAAAUUAUAUCAAACUUGAAAUCAGUCAUCCUUUGGGGCUCUAUAAAUACCAUCCUCCCUGUCAGUUACGGACACAUUCCUGCCUAGCUACUUUUAGUUUCAGCCAAACUACAUAUUCAUACCUAGCUGAACUGAAAUUAAACUUUCCAUGGCAUACCAGAGCGCCUACAAUAUGAAUUACCAGAUACUACUAUGCUUGAUACUCUUCUCCCUAGUCCUUCUCCUGCCACUGCCAUCCCAUUCUGCUGAUCCAAGCCCAUUGCAAGAUUUCUGCGUUGCAGAUCUUGAUUCCUCUUUAUACAUUAAUGGCUUUCCGUGCAAAAACCCUGAUAACGUAUCUUCACAAGAAUUCUUCGCCAAUGGGUUCCAACAAAGUCCAGGAGAAUUCAAUAUUUUUGACGUCAAUGUCACUCGCCAAGAUGUUCAGCGAUUUCCCUGACUCAACACUCUAGGGCUGUCAAUGAACCGAGUGGUUUUGAAGCCUGGAGGGCUGAAUGCACCCCACGUCCACCCUCGUGCAGCCGAGCUGGCUCUAGUCAUGGAUGGAAAACUGUUUGUAGGCUUUGUGACAACCGGAAAC
rnacentral:lncRNA from 1 species